UGCUUAACGACGGUGAGUGCCAAUUGGAUUCCAGGGCAACCCCUGCGGCCAGAACCAAAUGGCAAAAGCUGGAAGUCAUGUCCGAGAACAUCAACACUACUCCCAACAAAUCUUUCCGGAAAAAACGUCUCAGGAUCAGUCCAGGCUUCAGGAUCUCUUCCAAUUGCCCAAGCGUUUACAAUUACUCGCGAUUUUUUGGGUAUGUGGAAUCCGUUAACUGUGCAAUCUUCCAUAGAUUCGUGUGGAGCCAUCAAUGGCGUUACAGGAUGAAGCCGCAGGGUUUCCCUGACAACCAUGUCUAGGUAUUCUAGGAUUUCCAAAUCUGAUUCUUCAACCAUUCUUUUUAAGCCCACAAUAUUUUCUAGCUCUCUUUGUAGUUUCUUCAUCACAGCAGGAUGCUUGAUGAGUUCUGAAAGUGCCCACUCGACUACCGUUGGUGAAGUGUCUAUUGCUCCCGCAAGCAUGUCCUGAAAUUGAGGAAACCAUAAAUGACUGAAGCAUAUAUCUAGGGUUAAAAAUGACUCAUGCAGAUGAUCUUCUAUGGCAUGUAUAUUGCUAUUUAUGUUUACUGGCCAAGAUCAAUUCUGAUAUUAUGUAUCAAUCACAUGUCUAUAUUUACUCAUGUGAAAGCCAACACGAACACUACAACAAACAGUUAUAUCACCGAUGAAAUAUAUCCGAGGGCGUAAAAUACCUUUGAUAAUAAAUACUUUUUCCUAAGGUGUAAGAUGGCCGUCGGAUAAGGAUGAAAAUAUAAUCAAUAUUCCCGAGGGCAAUUUGCCCUUGAUGAUAAUGAAUGCUUUGUCGAAAAUGCUUGCUAGACUUAACUAGAAGCACCCCAAAAUUUACACACUUCGGUCUUUGAAGUAGAGUACUAAAACCACAAGCCCACAGCCAUAACUUCCAAUAAUUUUUUUCUUUGGAGUAGCGUACUUGGCAAAUUUUUUUCUUGUAAAUUUAAUUACUCUUGGUAAAAUUAAAAACCUAAAAGAAUGAAAUACAAAUAAAAAGAGGAAAUAUCGGUUUGCUAAUAAAGUACGUAGAACAUCCAAGAAACUGAUUAAAAAAUAGAUGACCCAAAAAUUGACAAUUAAUACUCCUUCGUAAGAAACAUGAAUCGGAUAAUUUUGUAGCUAAAAUACAAAAUUCAGUCUCUGAUACCUUUUCGUUUUACACUUAAUCUAAGAACUUAUAAUGGGUCCCCUCUAGAAGGGGGGACAAAUUAUUCAAAAUAUGUGCAGCAAGAGUCUAGAAAUCAUCGGUUCUCUUGAAACUUAUGUUGGUUAUGGGAUUAAAGAAUUACUUAAUCGUACGAAAACCCAGUGGCGUAGGCGUGGCCAUAUUUUAUACAUAGCGAGGGCAAAUUUAAUAUACUUAAAGAAUGCGAUUUGAUGUGCUUACCAUAACUACGGCUUUGAUAUGCUCUCGAUCGAUCUUUUUCUCAGUGUCUUCUGAUCCCUCGAAGCUCAACAUCACGUCAACGAAAUCCUCGGUUCUAUUUUCAUCCUUAGAUUGAAUAUGCUCAUCGAUAAUCUUCUCCAUAAACGCAUCAAACACCUUGGCAACAGCCUUCGAACGCUUUGUCAGGCCCUGAAGAUCAAGUCCUGCAAUUUGAGGAAUGUAAUCACCCAAAUUAGGCUUCCCAACCAAUUCGAAGCCCUCUCGAAUCACAGUCUCAAACCCUCCCGAAUCGAAUUCAUUAUCCGAACGUUUCUUCCCAAGUACCAUUCUACAGGUCAUGUUAGUACUCAAAGCCGAAAGCUUGGCACUUAUGUCAACCACACAACGGGCAUGCGCCGCCUCUUUGAAGUACUCAAUCAAAAGAUCAAGGUCUUCUUUUCUUGUUGGUUGAAAAUAAUUGAUCUUGGCAUUACUCAACAGAUUUUGGGUGCAAAUUUUUCGGAUUUUUCUCCAAUAAGACCCAUAUGGGGCCAUUGCAAAAUUCUUUUGCUGAUAAGACAUAUACUUAGUAGCUUGAAGGGGAGGCCUGCUGGCAAAGAUAAGGUCAUGUGUUUUGAGAAAUUGCUCAGCUGCUUGUGGUGAAGAGACAACAAUUGUAGUCAUUAAGCCCAAGCGUAAGUGCAUGAUGGGGCCAUAUAUUUUGGCUAGUUUAUGUAAAGCUCUGGGAGGAAAUUUGCCCAACAAAUGAAGGCAUCCGAAAAUUGGAAACCCUUUUGGCCCUGGAGGUAAUAAUUUUCUGUUCUUUUUGUUUGUUUUCGAAGAAAAUGCUUGGAGGAAAAAGAAAAUUGCAGCUAGAGCAAGUAAAGUCGAUAACCACGACAUGAUGAUCUAUUAAUGCUAGGAAGUUGAGAAUCCAGUUUUCAGUGAUGAAGAUGCAGAAAUGGUGCAACUGGGACAUUUAUUUUUAUAGUUGGAGAAUUUGUUCGCAGUCAAGAGAGUUAGUGAAGGUGUUUAGUGAUGAGCAUAUAAUACAUACAUAUUUUACCCUUAAUUAUAUAAUUGCUAGUUAUGUUUAUUUAUUAUUUUUAAUUAAUUGAAUGAUUUUAUUGAAUAGGGAAUUAAUUGGGGAUUAGAAAUAAAAAGUACAAAAAGAAUAACAAUUUAAGGGAGUAUUAGUCGAAGCCGUGAUAGAGUUAAGAACCAAGAGCAUAUGAAAGCCAAGCAUGUGAAGCCAAGAGCAAUUUGCAUUUAAAAGGAAUUUCAAUUCUCCAAUUUAGUUGCACGUGCAUGGCAUUUUGGCAUUGCACUAUGUUAAAGGGGCCCGCAGUUGACUUUCAAAAGUUAGAAUUAAUGGCUUAUGGUAGCGUUAAAUUGGAAAAAAGAUUUCAAUUAGAAUUGAAAAAUGAUUUCUUUAGAAUUGUUGGAGAAGAAUUCGGUCAAUUUGCAUUAUAAAAGGAGGGCGGCCGCUAGAGGAAGAAAAAGGAAGCAAAGGCGAUUCGGUAGAGAGGAAAACGAAGAGCUGCAGCAAUUUACUUUUUCCAUGGCUGAUUUUAUUUUUUUUGUUGCUCUCAAUUCAAGUAUAUCUAGCUAAUUUUCUUAUACUGAGGUUAAGGAUGAAACCAUAUUCAAUGAAAUAAUUAUCUUUUUAUUUAAUUAAUUCCCUAUAUAUAUAUUUUUGAUGAUUGUGGUUUUUAUUUCACAUGAUUAGUUGGAUGUUAUUAAAGUCUUUUCAUCAAUUCUGUCAUGCAUUGUUGAUUGUUAGGAUUAAUAUUCGAUUAAAUCUAUGUUUGGAUCUAUAAAGUUUAUACAUGAUUAUCUUUGAUUCUAUAUCUUUUAUUAAAUUGUUUACAUAGAGUGCUUAGGGAAACUUUGACUCUUUGUUAUUUAAGAUGCUUACAUGGGAUGCUUAAAUAUCAUACUAUUAAGCAGAAAAAGAAUCUACAUUAGAUUUAAUUACUUGGGCUUAAUUGUUAUAUCCAUGAGAUGACAUAGAUUGAUUUCAAGUUGUCACUCUAAAAUUGGGGAUUAAUUAAUAAUUAGAUAAUUACUAGUUGAAUAGUGGUAAAUUCUGAAACCUUGGUAAUUUUUAUCUUAUUGAAUUCUCCUUUAUUUUAAUUGUUUCCUUAGUUUAAUUGGUUUAAUUUUCUUAGAAACUCAAUUUGGUCAACUAGGUUAGCAUUAAUAUUAAUUUUAGAUUUAAAUUAGACUUUUUAAUUUAUAACAAUUCUCGUAAGAUCGAUCUCGUUACCACUACUCUAUUUCUAAAUUCGUGCGUUUGUGAGUAUAUAAAAAUUUUUCACGACAUUUAGCUUUUGUGAUAUCCUUCUUUUGCUUCCAUUGUUGUUAUUGGUUGCCGUUUUUGUCGGACUUCACAAGAGAAAGUGACAAGUUUAAAAGAAAGAGUUGCAGUGUCGUCACGACACUCGUACCCAAAAUUUCGGAAAAUUUUGAAAUAAUAGAUUAAGUGAUAGAAAGUGAGUGCCCAUUAAUGACUGGCAACCCCUUGGAAAAAAAUUGCCUUAUGUUUUAGUCGCGCGUCUUCGUUUAAUUUAUUUUUAUAGAUGGAGAAUUUGUUCGCAGUCAAGAGAAUUAGUGAAGGUGUUUAGCUUUUGUGAUAUCCUUCUUUUGCUUCCGUUGUUAUCGGUUGCCGUUUUAAAAUAAUAGAUUAAAUGAUAGAAAGUGAGUGCCCAUUAAUGACUGGCAACCCCUUGGAAAAAAAUUGCCUUAUGUUUUAGUCGCGCGUCUUCGUUUAAUUUAUUUUUAUAGAUGGAGAAUUUGUUCGCAGUCAAGAGAAUUAGUGAAGGUGUUUAGCUUUUGUGAUAUCCUUCUUUUGCUUCCGUUGUUAUCGGUUGCCGUUUUAAAAUAAUAGAUUAAAUGAUAGAAAGUGAGUGCCCAUUAAUGACUGGCAACCCCUUGGAAAAAAUUAAUUUGACUUACGUUUUAGUCGCGCGUCUUUAUUAUUCUACUUUUUAUUGAUAUAAAAUUAUCCAACUUUUUUUUUUCUCCCAAUCAGGCAGUGACAAAGCUUCACUGUAAAUCGAGACUCUAGAUUUGGCGUCUUCCUCUUCAUUUCUAUUUCUUUUUUCAAGUUCAUUUCACAUAAAUUAACAAUUUCUGAUUCUCCCACACAAGACCGCCAACUGUACCUCAAGAUUGAAGGUUUGGUUACCCUGUCUUAUCCUUUUCAUCUUUUUUAAAGUUUAUAUUAUUUGUGCUUGUUUCUUUAAACCGUUAUUGAUCUAUGAUUGAAUUAGAUGGUAUAAGAUAUAAUUAUUUUUUAUUUUCAUACAUUUAAGAUUUGAAUAGUAUUUAUUUUAUUUAUGUUGCAAAAUCUUUUUUUGUUUAUGUAUUAAAAAUUUUAACAUAAACUUCAAAUCUUGUGCUAUGAUCGAAUUAGUCCCCUAACCAAAAUUCUGAACUUACAACAUAACUUUUUAGCAACUACCAAAUCAAAUCUUGUGCUAUGAAGGACGGCUCUUUUCAGAGCUCUGCAUUCCAAUUCUUUAUUCUCGACAGAGAGACAAGAAAAGCAGAGAGGGCUGUGAGCUUAUAAAGAGAGAAAAAUUAGUUCCUCUUUUAUAAAUUUUUUUUCCCCCAGUUUUAAGUGAGAGAGGGAAAUAUUAGUAUGGGGUCCUACGAAGCAAUGUACAUAUGGCAUUGUAUUAAUAUUCGUUAAGGUGAAGCGCGCGGCUGCGUUGUUACAAUAAUUGAGUUUUAUCAAGUUUUACUUUAUUUUAUUUUUUAUUAUUACUAGUCAUUAAAUUAAUCACUAUUCCAAUUAAACUAAUUCCAAGCCUACUCUUGUUAAUAUUACAGGAAGAAGUUUGUGGAAACCUAUCUUGAUAUGUAGUUCAUCUGAAACUCAGUUUAGAGAUUAAUUCCAAAAAAUUAUGGAGAAGCCCAUUUCUAACCUAAGAGAAGUUUUACUAGGUUGUAACCGAAGAGAAGUUUUACUAUGACAACCUAGUAAUUUGAACUAUCACUCUUAACAGUAAUGAAUAGAGGUGUCAACCAUUAGGAUAAGGAAUGGUCGAUAGUUCAAAGCCAUUUUUUCAAUUUAUUAUUUUUGUUAUAUGUUUCAAGCCAAAUCAUAGGGGUGAGUUUGAUAAUGGCUCUUUUUUUCUUGUUGGUCACAUUUCAUGUAAAUCAAUUUAUUCGAAACCGGUACUUGAACUUGGUCGCUAAGAAAAUCCAAAACGCUACUUAAUUACAUUAGAUGAUAAUUAUGUGAAAAAAAAUUCUAAUUGCUGCUGGAGAAAGGGAAAGAAGUCAUGUAGAGACAGAUAGAUAGCUCACCUGUAAAUAUGAGAAAAGAGUGAGUGUUUGAUAACUGUUUUUAAAAUUAUUGUUGUUAGCUGCGCUAUAGCAAUAAUUAGAAGUGAAAAGUACUCGUUAUGUGUUAAACAAAUUUUAUUUUAAAAGUAUCGUGAGUUUUAAAAGUAAUUGCAUAUAUUUAGUAAAUCUUACUAUUUUAUUAUUGUAAGAUUGCAAAUGGUUAAUGGGGACAUAAUGUUAAAUGAAAUCUACUUAAAGAUUCAAAUAAACAUGCAUAUAUAAGUCUCCAGGAGCCAGGCCAGUUGAUUUUUAAGUAACUUAAUUUAGCUAGUCACCUGAUUUAAAAAUUGAUUUUGGCUUUGGUACCCCUCUAUCUUUUUUUCCUUAAAUCUACUACCAAAUGGGAUAAUUUUUCAAAAAAUGAUCUAAAAGAAUACUAACUAUUGAAAUGAUUUUUAACUUCUCAAAAUCAUUUUUGAAUUUCUCAAUAGCAGUCACAAACAGGCCCUAAUGUUAAAAAUUAUUGAGUAACGAUCAUAUAAAUUAUUUCAUAAGCUUUAAGCUUAUUGAAUAAAUUUUAUUGUUAAAGUUCUAAGUUCAAAAAGUUUAAUUUGGCUGACCACCUUAGUUCGACUCGCGGGAAUUACAAGAUUAUAUGAAAUUAAAAAUUUACCAAAACCUUUUAGAAUAAUUAUGAUACCGCACAAAUCAAAUAUUGAGGUACAAUAUCUACUUUCAAAUAUUAGUAAGCAAUCUUCUUUAAAAUAAUUGUUGGGUCGCAAAUGAUUUAAUUUAUUAAUUUGUUUUUUUUUUGUUUCUCUUAACACCUCCUCUAUGCUAAUCCAGAGAUUGAACAAACAACAUUAUCACUAAAUGUUUAGGCAAUAACUUGGAAUAGCCGAAAGAUGUUUGGCCCAAGGAGUCACCAGACUAAACUCUUCUAACAUGUCCAAUCCAGUUGGCAACAUUCCCUCAUGAAGCUCCCAAUCAAAGCAAUGCACAAGAUGUGCAGUCCCUUGCUUAACGAUGGUGAGUCCCAGCUACGGCCAACAACAAAUGGCAAAAGUGGAAAGUCACAUCCACAAAGAUCAACAUUACUCCCAGCAAAUCUUUCCAAAAAAACAAUUUCUCAGGAUCACUCUAAGCUUCAGGAUAUCUUUCAAUUGCCCAAUCAUUUAUAAUUACUUGCGAUUUAUUGGGUAUUUGGAAUCCGUUAAUUGUGUAGUCUCAAUAGAUUCGUGUGGAAUUAGCAAUGGUGCUACUUGAUAAAAACUGCAUGGUUUCCUUGACAACCACGUCCAAUUAUUUGAAGUUUUAUCUAAAUCUAAUUGUUCAACCAUUCUUUUUAAGCACAUAAUAUUUUCUACCUCUCUUUGCAAACUGUGGGAUGCUCUAUAAGUGCUGAAAGUGCCUACUUGAUUACCAUUGGUAAAGUGUUUAUUGCCUUCGAAAGCAUGUGCAAAAAUUAAGGAAACCAUAAAUAACAGAAGCAGAUGUUUAGAAAUCAUCAGUUCUCUUGAAAUUUUAAAUUAUAACGUAGAUUAUGCCUUAAAGAGUUACUUAAAUGUGCCAAAACCUUUAUACCUAGUGGGGGCAAAAUUAAUUUACUUAAAGAAUGUGAUUUGAUGUGUACUUACCAAGAUUGUGCCUUUAGUUUGCUCUCGUUCAAUCAUGCGCUCGGUUUCUUCUGAUCCCUUAAAGCACAACGUAACGUCAACAAAAUAUUUGGUUCUAUUUUCAUCCUUGGAUUGAAUAUAUUCAUUAAUAAUCUUCUCUAAAAAUGCAUCAAACACCUUGGCAACAACCUUUUUAUGCUUUUUCAUGCCUUGAAGAUGAAGUCUUGGAAUUUGAAAAGUGUAAUCACCUAAGUUAGGCUUUAUAGCCAAUUCCAUUCUCUCUUGAAUCAUAGUCUUAAACCCUUUCUCAUCGAAUUCAUCACUCUAAUAUCUCUUCCUGAGGACCAUUUUACUAGCCAUGUCAGCAUUCAUAGCAGAAUCCUUACCACUUAUGUCAACGACACAUUGGACGCACGUUGCCUCUUUGGUGUACUCAGUUAAAAGAUCAAGCGCUUCUUUUGUCAUAAGAUGGAAAUAAUUUAUCUUGACUAUACCUAAUGUUAGGAAAUUAAUGGAUGACGUAGACACAACUAAAGUGAAAUUGAGAAAUAAUAAUCAUCUAUUGACAUUGGAAUUUACGUGGUUUGUCUUUUAGCCUACGUCUAUGGGCAAGAUAUAAAGGUAAAAGUUUACUAGUUAAAUGGAGAUUACAAAUGUUAAAGUAUUUUAGCUUACCGCCAAAACCCCAAUACACCUAAUCUCUCAUUCAUUAAACCAAGAGCUUAAAGCUCUUACGAUACUCUCAAUCUCCAACUAUUGGCUCUAUCACUUAUCAAAUAGAUUGGGAAUUCAAGAAAAUGGGAUCGGAUACUCUUCCUUUGCACUCCAAUCUAUAGACCAAGCAAUGCCCACUUUCCUAGUUUUCAUUGGCGGAUAAUCAUAACUGAGAAAGAAUGUCCCUCUUAUCUAGGGAUGCAAAUCAACAAUGAUGGGCUUUAAAAGAGAAUAUAAUUUUUCACUAACAUUCUCGUUUGGUGCCAAAGUCAAAUGUUGCAUGCUAGCCACACGUCUCCAAUUUACUCAACACUUAAUAAUUCUAGAGUGCAUAUUUUUUAGAUUGUUCUCCAAUAAGACCCAUAUGGGGAAAUUGUAAAAUUCUUUAGGUAAUAAGAAACAUGCUUAGAAGCUUAAAGAGGAGGCCUGAUGGCAAUAAUAAGGUCACGUGUUUUGAGAAAUUACUUGGUUGCUUAUGGUGAAAAAACAACAAUUGUAGUCACUAAGACCAAGCGUAAGUGCAUGAUGUGGCCAUAUACUUUGGCUAGUUUAUGCAAAGCUCUAGGUGGAAAUUGGCCUAACAAAUGAAGGCAUCCGAAAAUUGGAAAACUUUUGGCCCUGGAGGUAAUAUCCUUCUAUUCUUUGUGUUUGUUUUCUAAGAAAAUGCUUGGAGGAAAAAGAAAAUUGCAGCUAGAACAAGUAAAGUCCAUAACCACAACUUAAUGAUCUUGUGAAGUCAAGAAUGUUGUGGACCGAAUUUGGUGCAUAACAAUGUUGACAAAUUAGCCAAAUGUUGCCCAAUUUUUCAAAUUGACAAGGGUGAGCUUAAUGCAAUAGUGCCAUUGUUUUUCCUAUAAAUAGAAGACACUUCUUUCAUUUUAAGUAUCUUAAAUUUGAGAGAAAUAUUUCAAAUGAAGAAUUUUCUAUAGUGAGCAAUUGAGAGAAUUUUCUUUCAAGUAUGUGUGAGAUUAUUGGGUGUAUUUGGGUUCUAAAAAGUGAAGUUUCUUUACUCAAAUAUUAUACUUUAAUAAUUGUUAGUAAUACAAUUAUUUUCUCUCGCUUUCGUGGACGUAGGCAUAAUUAUCGAACCACGUUAAAUUCUCGUGUCCUUUAUUUUUGUGAUUAUUUAGUGCGUUUGAUUCCACAUUACACAUAGAAUAAGUGGCACCAGAGCCUACAUGUGGUGUCAGAGACAGGUUUGCACUUGGGGUGUACAAUACUGUUCACAGAUACGGUACUGUUCACGAAUUUAGGGAGUUUGUACUUACGAGGAUUAGUAGCUUAUAUAGUGGUGUAGAUUUGUGCAUGUUUAGGAAAGUUAUGUCACAAUGGCAAUAAGAGUUUAAAGAGUCUAGGUUUUAAGAGGGACUACUAUGACUCCUACAAUCUUUCCUAGGAACUUUCCUUGCACGUUUUUCCAUAUGUAUUGAUCUCCCAAGUGAGAAUAGUUUAUUAAGAAAAUGGUAAAAAAUGAAACUUCCAAAAGUGGAGAGAGAUCUACUCAGAUUAUUCUAAGAGGCACUUCAGAUGGGAGGUGAAACUUGUCAUAUCACUAUUCAACACCUGUUAUAGGAGGCCAGAAGAUUGAUGUUGAAAAGUUUGAUGGAAAAAUUAACUUCGGCAUGUAGAGGCGUGAGGUUAUGGAUGCCUUUAUUCAAAUCGAUUUUGAUGUUGUUUUAAAAAAUAAAAGACACUUGUAAAAUAAAGAAAUUUAGGAUCGUAUGAACAAGAAAGCCUGUGGUUAGAUCAGAUCUUACUUGACCAAGGAGGUAAAAUAUCUGAUGAAAAAUUAGGAGUGUGCAAUGAUUUUACGGUGUACAUUAGAGGAAAAAUACCUACUAAAAAGUCUUAAAAAUCGUCUUCAUGUAAUCAGCUAGGUAUAUGGUUUUUGAAUGAAGCCCAGGGUUUCAAAUGCACCACAAUAUCUCAAGCUUUGAAAAGUUACUUCUAUAUUCGAAGAAUCUUGAUAAAGAUAUGAAGGAUGAAGUCAAUGCUAUAAUUCUACUGCACUCACUUCUAGAAGAAUAUAACUAUUUUGUGACUACUUUUUUAUAUGGGAAAAAUAUAAUCAUUUUCAAGGAUGUUUGCACAGUACUUAUCAAUUUGAAAAUUUAGAAUAAUGGUAAACAUUCCGAAAGACCAUCAUUUAAGGCUUUGUUAAUAAGACAUUGGAUGAUGGAGAAAAGGAAAAAGGCAGUGGAAAGAAUUCUUAGUCUAAAAAGCAAAAAUAUAGCUUAAGUGUGCCUUUUGUCAUGAAAGGGGCCAUUGGAGGCAAGAUUGUCUGAAAGCUUAGAAGAGAGAUGAGAAGAAACCAGUAGCAGUGAAUAUGGCAUGUAAAGAUGAAGAUUUUAACUAUUCACUAAGUAUUUUGCCUGCAACAUCUGUGAACUUGAGUUUUUUCUAAAAAAGAUUGAAUUUGGAAAGGCCGUGUUUCAUAUUCCGGUUUGUUUAACGCUUAGUAUAGAAAAUUGAGUGAUUCCUCGACAUAGGGUUUUUCAAAUUGUUAUGUCAAGGGAGAUGUUGAAGAAAGGAUGAAGUUUUCCAUUGUUUCUGAUUUUGAGUGAGGAGAAUUUCUUGAAGAAGUUUGUGCUUAGUUUUGAAGAUGAUGCAGAGGAGUUGUUCCAUGCUUACAAGGGCCACAAGUUGGGUUCUUUUUCUAGAGACCAACUAUUGCAAUGAGGACGGUUGUUUUGCCUAACAUAAACCUCUAAGUCUGAUGUAUUUUUUGGCACAGUAACAGAAGGUUUUGAGAGUGGGUGAUAGUAUGCAAUGUAACACCCAUUGGUUUGUUUCACCAUUCAUGAAGUGAUUUUUGGGCAUUUCAAAUGUUCUUGCUGCUAUGUGUUUGAGCAGCAUAGUUUUCAUUGUAGCUUUGAUUUAGAUAUAUUUGUGGUUAUUACGCUGAUUUCAAUGUAUUCCAAGUGUGGAGAUAUUGAUUCUGCCAUAUUUUUGUUUGAUGGCAUGUAUGAGUCUUUAGGGAUGAAAAAAUUACCCACCAAUUCAUAAACCAACCCAAACCCAUUCGCAAAAAUCUGCCCGCUGCGGGUAAUUUUGCAGGUUGCGAGCGGCUUUUGUAUUGCAAACUUAAAUCGAUCCAUUGUGAAUUGCUGGUGGGUUUGGUGUUGGAAGCAAUUCCGCUGGAUACCAACGCGAGGAUCCACCAACCUCCAUUCUUUAUUUUAAUUAUUUAUAUUUUUAUUUUAAUCACAAAAAUUACAUUAAAAAAUUUAAUCAUAAAUAUAUUAAAUUAAAGUUUCUAAUUUCUAGACGUAACUUAUCUCACUGCAACAUAUAUACAAUAAACUUUUAAUAAGUCGAAAUUUUAUAAUUUUUAUUACUAAUAUUUUAUUUUACUUUAAUUCAUUUUGUUUGUUUUGCCUUAACAAUAAUUGUAUAAGCCUUAACAAUAAUUGUAUAAAAUCUACUUGUUAAUAUUAUUGAUAAUACUUAUUUAUUGAUUAAAAAAUGAAGCAAAGUAUUGAUAUUAGUGAUGAUGAUUUGCCUACAAUAGAAAUAUUUUUGUGUUGGAUUAAUAUUUUUUAUGUAUUUUUUAAUGUUGAAAUUUUAAUUUCUUAUUUACAUUGAUAAAAUCUAGAAUUGAAUAUUGUUUGCCAAUAUUUUAAGCUAUUAUUAUAUAUUUAUAGUUUGAAUUAUAUAAUUUAAGUUUUUAUGUACUAUUAAAAAUAUUUUUUAUAUUAUUGAUUUUAAAUGAGGUGGGUUUGGUAAUUGUUAAAACCCACAGCAGACAGGUUUUUUAAAAAAAUAAAAACCCAUUAUAGGUUGCGGCGAGUUUGGUAAUUUAAUUUUUUUGUGGGAGUAAGUUUAACAAUGGUAACACCUCAGCGGGCGGUGCCCGCCAUUUCUGUGUAUGAUAGAACUCAUGUUUCUUAGACUGCAAUGAUUAAUGGGUAUGCUAUGUGUUUGAGCAGCCAAGUUUUUCAGAGCUAGUUUAUGGUCAUAUCUGGCUACGUAUUGGAAGAGAUGAAAGCAUCAAUCAAAUAGUGAACUGCCCUGUAAGGAGAUUAUUUUUUUCUUAUUCCCAGAACCGGUUAUUGUUUAACAAAAAAGGAUAAAAAUUGAAAAAACUUGUUGAUCAAAAUUGUAUUUUUCAGUGUUUGGGCUUGAGAAAGUGUUUAAUGAAAAAUGAAGAUUCCCAAUAAUAUAGGCCAAUUUUGCAUUUGAAAAGGUGUAGAAAUUUGUAGAAUAAUUUGACACAUAAAUGACUAAAUGGUUGUUUAAAAAUUUUCUAUGUUCGACACUUUUUUUCUUUGUUUUGAUAAGAGAUAUCAGGUUGGAUCAUAACUUUAAUUUAAUAUGCAUUGUUAAUCCCACACAAAAGUACGCCACACAUCAACUAAUCUAUCAUCACCAUUAGAUUCAAUAUAAUCAAUGGCUAAUAUUAAAGUCAGGAAAACCUUACCCCAUAUAUCUAUAAAUUCCGACAAUUCGAUCGUUCCUGAAGCAUUGAAGCAGUGAGCACAAAAUAAUUAUAACAAGCAAUGCCAAUGAACGGCGUUAUAAGAGAUAAAUUUACACACAAAAAGAAAACGGAAUCGAACUCUUUCAGAGUUUGGUGUGAACUGAUCAUCAUAUCAUGCGUUAGUUGGAUUUGGGACGCGGCGGAGAAGGAGCGUCAACUAUCAACAAGUAUGGUCCUUAAUUUGUCAUCCGCAAUAACGUGCGGGAUCCAACUACAGCACAGGGGCUCUUCUUAUUUCUGAUGAUUAGACUUUAGAGUGAUAGUGAAUUGAUGAGUCUGGGUGGACUUUUUCGAUUCUAAGCGUAAGUUCAUAUCAGGAAGAAUACAAAGAGUUAUGUGUAGGUUGGGUCUGGGUUUUCACAUAUUUUUUAAUUAUUUUUUUGAAAUUAUUAUAAACUUUUAACGAGUUAAUCAUCGAUAACGAAUUAGAAAAAAAUGAUUAUUUUAAAAUAAAAUAAAAAAUAACGUAAAUAAAAGUUUAUAAAUUUAAUUUAUUAUUAAUACUAUAGUUCAAGCAGAUGUUCUUAAUUAAUUAUAGCUUAAGAGAGAGUUUAGUUGUUAUAAUUUUAAGUUUUUUAAUUUUUUACUAUUUUUUAAAUUUAAAUUCAUAAAUUUAUAAUUUUAAAAAAUAGAGGUCUUGAUUUUUUUUCUUUUUCUUUUUAAACCCUUACCCAAGUCGUUAUGUGAAAGGCCGGUUAGCCCGGAUGUUUUUGUUAAGAGUCAGACUAUUAGCACACCUCCAAAAUCCUAUUGAAAUUGUUUUUUCAAUUUUAUUCCAUGUAAUACCAAAACUAUCCUUUUUUUAAUUUAACACUCUUUUCAUUUAUGGAUUUUUCAGUUUCCUCUCUUCAAACUUUCUUUAUUAUUUAAUUUCUAAAGCAAAAAAUCUAAAAGAAAAACUAAACGAAAGAGUAAGAAAAAAAUUAUAAAAUCUAAAAGAAAAACUAAAAGAAAAAGUAAGAAAAACUCAUACUUACAAAAUAAUGAAUAUUUUAUGAGUUUAAUACAAUUAUCUUACCUAUAAAUUUUGAGUUCAUUGGGUUCAAAAAUUAGUUUGAGAAUUUUUAAGAAAUUAGUUAAAUUGGGGUAAAAUUUUAUUUAAUUUAUUUUUUCACUAUGUUGUAUCUUAUUAAGUUCUUUUUUUUUUCUUUUUGGUUACAAGAAUUAUAUUUUGGCUUAGAAGAUUACUUCUUAAAUUAUUUUAAUGAUAAUAAAAAUUUUAUUUUCAAAAAUUACUUCAAAAAAAGGUUAAAAUAACUUGGGCCUUUUUCAGCCCAAAAUAAUUGGGCUAUUGGAUGGAAUGAAAUGGUUGGUAGAUAAAGAAUUUUGGGUUGGGCCAGCAGUACCCUUAUUUAUGAACUAUGAGAUUAAUGAAGGGGUGCCAAUAGUCCAAUUCUUUUGUUAAUCCCACUUCUGAAAAAGGUUAAAAUACAUUGAGCCUUUUGCAGCCCAAAACAAUUAGGCUAGGUAAAGAAUUUGUGUUGGGCCAACAGUACCCAUAUUUCUGAAUAUUUUAUGAGUUUAAUAUAAUUAUCUUACUUAUAAAUUUUGGGUUAAUUGGAUUCAAAAACUAGUUUGAGAAUCUUUAAGAAAUUAGUUAAAUUGGGGUAAAAUUUUAUUUAAUUUAUUUUUUCACUAUGUUGUAUCUUAAUUAAGUUGUUUUUUUUUUCUUUUUGGUUACAAGAACUAUAUUUUGGCUUAGAGGAUUACUUCUUAAAUUAUUUUAAUGAUAAUAAAAAAUUUAUAUUGUGCUAGCAAAAGAAAAUUGAGGAGAAAAAGAAAAUAUAAAUGAUUUUAAUUAUAUUUAUAUUUAUCCUUAAAUGUAAUUGUAAUAUAACAAAAAUUUUAUGAGAUUAAUGAAGGAUGUCAAUAGUCCAACUCUUCUGUUAAUCCUACUUCCGAAAAAUGUUAAAAUAAAUUGGACCUUUUUCAGCCCAAAAAAAUUGGGCUAUGGAUGGAAUGAAAUGGUUAGUAGGUAAAGAAUUUUGGGUUGGCCAGCAGCACAAAAUGCUUCAAUGAUUCUCUAUCAAUAAAAAGUACAAUAAAAUCAAAACUUUUAGAAGCGGUUAGUAACGGACUUAAUUUUACCGCCAACACAAUGAGUGAUGGCCGUAUCUUCACUUCCACCACGUCUCAACAGAAUUUAUAGAAGUUCAACGAUUAAUCAGUGGAACUCACAAAUAAGAGAAGCAGUGAACAAAAACGAAGCCCACAAAACUCUUCUUCUCUUUCGCCAAAUGAAACAAAACGACAUCGAACCAAACAACUUAACAUUUCCCUUCAUAGCCAAAGCUUGUGCUAAGCUCUCUGACCUUAUAUACUCCCAAAUGAUUCAUGGCCACAUCGUGAAAUCACCCUUUGGUCCGAUAUCUUUGAGCAAACAACAAUGGUGGAUAUGUAAGUGAAAUGUGAUCGGUUAGAUUGCGCGUAUAAAAUAUUUGACGAAAUGGCUGUCAGAGACGUCGCGUCGUGGAAUGCGAUGCUUGUGGGGUUUGCUCAGAUGGGGUUUCUUGAAAACGUUUUGCGUCUUUUUUAUAAUAUGAGGCUUGUUGGAAUCCAAGCUGAUUUUGUCACGGUUAUGGGGUUGACGCAGGCGGCCAUACAUGCAAAGCAUUUGAGCCUUCUGAAAAGCGUUCAUUCGUUUGGCAUUCAUAUUGGGGUUGAUGCUGAUGUGUCAGUUUGUAAUACAUGGAUUUCUUCCUAUGCUAAAUGUGAUGAUUUGAAGAUGGCGGAGUUGGUGUUUUGUGGGAUAGAAGAACGUUUAAGGACUGUAGUUUCAUGGAAUUCUAUGGUCGCCGGAUGCACGUAUGGUGAUAAGUUUGAUGAUUCUCUUAAUUUUUAUAGGCACAUGAUGUAUAAUGGAUUUAGGCUUGAUGUAACUACAGUUGUUAGCCUUCUUUCAUCAUUUGUGUGCCCAGAGGCAUUAGUGCAAGGUAGGUUGGUUCACUCUCAUGGAAUUCAUUAUGGCUUUGAUUUAGAUGUAUCGGUGAUUAAUACACUGAUUUCAAUGUAUUCCAAGUGUGGAGAUAUUGAUUCCGCUAGAGUUUUGUUUGAUGGCAUAUGUGACAGGACUCGUGUUUCUUGGACUGCAAUGAUUAGUGGGUAUGCUCAGAAACGAUACCUGGAUGAAGCGUUGAGAUUGUUUUUCGCUAUGGAAGCUGCAGGUGAAUUACCUGAUUUGGUCACUGUGCUGUCAAUGAUUUCAGGCUGUGGGCAAAGCGGUGCACUUGAGCUUGGAAAGUGGUUUGACAAUUAUGCCUGUUCUGGUGGAUUAAAAGACAAUGUAUUGGUCUGUAAUGCAUUGAUAGACAUGUACUCUAAAUGUGGAAGUAUUGGCGAUGCUCGAGAGCUCUUCUACGCUUUACCUGAGAAAACUGUUGUCUCUUGGACAACAAUGAUUGCCGGUUGUGCUUUAAAUGGAGAAUUCGUAGAAGCUUUAGACCUUUUCCAUCAGAUGAUGGAAUUGGAUUUGAGACCAAAUCGCGUAACAUUUUUGGCUGUGCUUCAAGCUUGCACUCACACAGGCUUCCUUGAGAAAGGAUGGGCUAUUUCAAUAAUUCAAUAUGAUGACAAAGGUAUAUCAUAUAAUCCGGAAUUAGACCAUUACUCUUGCAUGGCAGACCUUCUUGGAAGAAAAGGGAAGCUGAAGGAAGCAUUAGAUUUUGUUCAAAGCAUGCCUAUCAAAUCUGAUGCUGGAAUAUGGGGUACAUUGCUUUGUGCUUGCAAGAUUCACCGAAACAUAGAGAUUGGUGAAUACGUGGCUUAUCGCCUGUUCAAAUUGGAGCCCCACCCUGCAGCUCCAUAUGUGGAAAUGGCCAAUAAAUAUGCUUUGGGAGGAAGAUGGGAUGGAGUAGCAAAUAUAAGAACGAUGAUGAAACGCAACCAGGUGAAGAAGUUUCCAGGGCAAAGCCUUGUUCAUAUUAAUGGGAAGACUUGUACGUUUACAGCUGAGGAUAGAUAUCAUGCUGAAUCUGAACUAACAUACCCAGUAUUAGAUUGUUUAGCAUUGCACUCUAGGGGGGAAGCAUAUUCAUCGCAUUUAAAGUGGAUUCCAGAACAUGAAGCAGGAUGACUCCUUUAUCAUUUUGACCCGUACAAAUUAGGCAUUGGAAAUUUAGAAUCUGGAUUUUGGAGAGAGAUUCAUGUAGAAAAUUGCUUAUGAACCAUUUUUCAUUUCACAUUCUGAUGUUAAAGGAAUUUUAGGAUGAAAUUUUAUAGCACGUACAAUUACAGAAGAAAUAUAAUUGAAUUAUUUCAGAUGUUUUAUAGUAUUAUCACACUUCUGGUUUCUUUCGGGAGAUUGAAGUGUAGAAAGUCAUAUAUAUAGGGGCAUUUCUAUAGCUUCAUCCAUUAAAAAUAUGAUAGUAUUGCAGCUAUUUAUUUAUUUAUUUAUUUUUUUAAGUUACAUUCUUUUGUAGGAUAAAUAAAAGUAUACGAAGGGAAGUUCAGAUACAGAUCAUCUUCAUUAAACUUACAUAAGGAAGAAAAAUAAAACCGCUAUCAAAAUUCAGAAACGAAUCAAUAGACAAUAAUCACAUUCAAUUUUCUUCUCAUUCUUUCAAUUAUUAGUAGCAUGACAAAUCUUCUUCCCACCUAUGUAAGGAAGUUUAUUUUUAACAUGUUUUUAAUCCUAAGGAUUAAGAGGAAAAUGGUUAGCUGUCUUGGUAUAUUUUGGAGGAUGAGCACUGUUGAGUGCAUGAAGAACACCAGGUCGGCCAUGCAACUAGUUCCAUCCCAGAACGGAUUGCUUCAUCUCUUAUAUACGAGCAGAGCAUAUGGGCAAGCAUGAGCCGAUCAGAGGAGAGAACAACCAGGGAAACAUACCGACCAGAAAUAUAUGCCGAGCCAAUACUCAUCCCCAGGAAAGCGGGAACACGAUCCCACAAAACCGCGGUAGUUGCGUUUCUCCCAGAACGGUUGAAGGACACGCGAGAUCCACGUUUGCCCACAAUCUAACAGUUAGAGUCCCAUGAGGGGCUACCACCACCCGAAAAAGGAGGAAUCAGGGGCAAACGGAAAACGUGGGACAAAGGGCGGCUAUAAAAGAGAAAGACAUCGAAGAAGAUAGGGAGAUAAAAAAAAGAGAGAGAGGGGAAACGCUGCCAAAUUGCAACCAGGCCAUUUCCUUACAAAUUUCCUGAAAUCAUAUUACACUGUUUUCCCGUAAACACCUUGUGCUAACUUAGGCAUCGGAGGGUUUACGCCGGCAAAACCACCGGCGUCUCUGAUCCGUUUUUGGUGAACGCAGGUCUAGCGAGGGAAAAGAAGGUGAUUCCAGCCUGAGUGGUUCGAGCAACAGUCAAUAACGUAAACGUUGGUGAAAGAAUCUGGUCGGUCUAAGGACGAGCAGAUUUCAGCAUCAACAUUUUGGCGCCGUCUGUGGGGAGCUGGAUAAAAAGCUACCACCGAAUUAGGAAGUACCGGAGAAACAGCGAACGGUUAAACAUGGAUGUGACGAGGAAGGACGCUCUGAGGGAGGAUAACGAAGCUGGGGAGACAAUCACUCUUCGGGAAAUUGCAAAUGAAGCCCGAGAGAGGAUGACGCAAGAUAGACUGGAGCGGAUGGAGAAACAAAUGGAGACUCUUGCGGCCGUAUUGUUUGAGCUGAGGGACGAGCGGAGAAGAGAUUGCGAAACCCCCGUGGGAAGAGAUGGAGUUGGAGCAGAACCCAGCCUCCGGGGGCGUAGAGUCGGGGAAAUCCCCCCGUACGGAGACCAACCUAACGGGGUGCAUCCCCACCGAAGUACUGGUCGGGUCCCAGGGGAACACGUUGAUGAAGGGAGAGACCAACCUCGCCCCGGACGGACACUGGAAAUAAAUGGCCGAGGGGCCAGUGUUGAUGAAGGAGAGCUCAGACAGCGAUUGCAGAACGCCGAGCAGGAGCGAGACCAGAUAGCUGCACGUGAUCCUGAUCGUGCUGUAGAAUUGGAGGGGGAGGUGCGCAGAUUGGCGCAGGUGAUAGAGGAGAUGCAGGGCAAGAGAAAGCCCCCGAGCUGGAGGAUAAUGCUAGAUGAAGAAUCUCCGUUGUCAACGGAGAUCAUGAGUACCAUAAUCCCAAAGGAUUUCCGCUUCCCCGACCUCAAAUACUCCGGGCGAAGUGACCCGUUGGUACACAUUGAGCGUUUCAACGACAUGACGGGUGUGCAGGGGCUGACACCAGCUCAGAGAUGUAGGGUGCUCCCGUUGACCCUAGAGGGACGAGCCCGAGAAUGGUACCGCAAGCUGCCCCGAGGAGGAAUAAAGGGGUAUGAGCAGAUAUGCCAGGAGUUGGCCGAGCAGUUUCGGGGGGCAGUGGCCCCAGAGGAUGACAUGAUGGAAUUGAUGGGGAUGAGACAGGAGGAGCACGAGUCCCUACGAGAUUUUAUAAAGCGAUACCACCGAGCCGUACUUGAUUUGGGAGCUUUCAAUCACCCGCAGGCGUUGAAGGGUUUAAAGGAGGGUGUGAGGAUAGGCCGGCUAUGGUAUAACCUGAGAAGCCCCCUGGUGCAGAAUUAUUCAGCAGGAUAUGAGCAGGCAAAGAGAGAUAUCGAAAUAGAGGAAGAAAAAUCGGCAAAGAUAAAGAGUGAACAGCUGGAGGAGCUAAGACGAAAGGAAAGGAGAACUCCCAAUGGGAGCAGGUCGGGAAAGCGAGCUGGGGAACCCUCAGAAAGGGGCGGAACAUCAGCUAGAUCCCGCCCUUACCCCAUAGCUACAAGAUCACAACAGUUCCAGCACAAUCGGGCUCAGCCUCCACGUCUCCCAUUCCCAGAUCGGCAGCGAGAAUUCCGGCAGAUAGCUGCCGACCCCUAUCAUAACACUCCCAGAGCAUCACAUGCAACCAAUCCCAGGGCCAGACGACCAGAUCAGUUAGCAACUAUGCCAGCCCGAGAUGACGUUCAUGAUAGCCGAGCCGUUCAGCUGGUAGACCAGAGCUUGACAUAUAGACAACACACUCCACUAAAGAUCUCCAUGGAGGAAUUGUAUGAGAGGAUUGAGGGACGAGGCCUGCUAUACCCCCCGGCCCCAAUAACAAAACCAACUCACCGACGGGAUAAGAGCAGAUUCUGCAAGUUCCACGACACUCACGGUCACACUAUCAACCAAUGCCGUGACCUGAAGACUCAGGUGGAGGAUUUAGUGAGGAACCGAUACUUGGACGAGUAUGUAGAUGGAAUAUCCCCUGCCACGGAAUCACAGUACACACGGGAUGAAGGAGUUGAGAGGAGUUUAGAACGUGAGCAGUCGACCGUCCGUGUGAUAGCAGGAGGGCCAACAUUGGCCGGAGAUUCGAACAGGGCGCGGAAGAACUAUGGGAGAUACGCCCUGACUAGCAAAGAAGUGCUUUUCAAUUUGCCAGCAGCCAAGAGGGCAAAAGUACGGCAAGUUCCUAUUAUGUGGACAGAGAAUGACGAAGAGGGCAUUUUGUACCCUCACGAGGAUGCACUGGUAAUUAAAGCGUUGGUGGCCAGUACAGAAUUACGGCGAAUACUGGUAGAUACGGGCAGCUCAGUAGACAUUCUGUUUAAGUCGGCCUUAGAUGAUAUGGGGAUUUCAGACUUAAAGCUGGAGCGAACGAAUACAUCCUUGAAGGGAUUUGGAGGGGGACGGUUAACUCCCAUGGGGGUCAUUGAACUCCCGAUUACUGUGGGGACAAAGCCAUUUGAAAGAACGAUGAUGCUGGACUUUGUAGUGGUAGAGGAAAGAAGUCCUUAUCAGAUGAUAUUGGGGAGACCAUUCAUGAGGAUAAGCCAAUGCGUAAUAUCCACGCAUUAUCUGGCGCUGAAGUACCGAAUAAAUGGAGUUGUGGGUGUAGUGAAGGGCGACCAGAGAAUGGCCAGGAGCUGUUAUGCUACAGCGGCCAAGGAAACGCUGCAGGUGACCUCUCUGGAUAAUCGAGGGGAUUCAAAAAAUGGCCGCCAGGAACCUGUUGAGAAGCUGAAGGAAGUUGUUGUAAGCUGCUGUACCGUACAUCCGCCUUGGCCGUACAGCAGUCAUCCUCUCAGUAAAUUCUUUCAAAAAAAAAAUCCCCCUUUUUACGGUGGUUGUGUGGGUUUAGGUGGAAUUUAAUAUUCGUUGAGUUGAGUGCAUCAUUCUCAUUAUUGAUUGCGGAGAUAGUGGUGUUAAAUCAAUUUCUUUACAAAAAAUGGAGCUUUAGAAUCUUCCCAAGUUUCCAUUAGCUCCACUUUCUUUUGUCGGCGACCGUCUCUUCAUUAAGAAAUUAAUCACCAACGCCGGGGAAUUUCCCGUUUUAUAAAAUUUAUUUCUUCUAACCUCAACACCCAUUUUAACUUUUUUUUAAAAAAAAAAACCGAAUGACUUAUUUUUCUGACAGAGACCCUUAACUCGUCGUGGCUCAUAUAUUUUGUUCUAUGAAGACAUGAGAGGAUUGAAAAAGAAUCUUUGACGGUAGUUCUGUGGGAGAUUGGCAAGGAUUGUGUCCGCUAGUAUGCUAUUAAUCUUUAAUAAAAUGAUUUUUUAAUUAAAGGAUUGUUAUGAUUUAACGAUCAUUAUCGGUACUACACGGUGGCGCAUCUCCACUGUAGCCACCGCCUUGUUUUAUCAUGUGAUUUAAAGAAUCACUCCAUGUUGAGACUGAGAACUUGGCCGUUUACUUUUUUCUUUUUAUUUUAAUUUCCUGAAUGUAUAAUAAAGUCUUUGUGCAUUCAAGUAAACGGCCAAGUUUACUUGAUGUUUCUAGAAGUUAAAACGAGGAGGGAUUAUCGUAAUUGUCAAAACGUUUGGGCUAAAAGACAAAAUUAACCCUACAGGGAAAGAAAGAAUAUUUAUAGACUAUGGAUUCGGAUGUCUAUUUAUCCUCCCAUUUUUUAUUUCUUACUAUGUCAUACUUGUAUAACACUGCAAAGCACCACUUGCUCUACAGUGACCAACUCAAACGAUCCAAGUUUAAAAAUAUAAAAAUACCCUCAAAAGUUGUUUUAUAAAAAUAAUUUAUAAUUCUAGAAAUUUAUAAUUCACAUUGCCUGAUUAGCCUGAAUUUUUUCGCAAUAAAUCGGUCGAUCAAAUUAUUAUUUGUAAGAGAUGACAUAUUAAAUUUUCUUGAAGAAAUGUUAGCCGUAGCCACUUGUAUGUACAGGCGACUGAUGCUAGCUAGUUUUCUUUACACAGUUAAUAUAAGUUCGAAAUAAACAAAGAAAUGGACAAACCUUGGCACUGCCGACUUCAUGUCGCCGUUGCCGUCGAUUGACACAACCAGCACGUGCCAGAAUGCAAAUCAAAUUCUCUUUAAAGCAAAUGAUAUAGUACUCUCGGAAUUCUUGUCUCUCUGUUAGUUUACUUUGAAUUGGACGACGAAUUUCAAAUCAUCACCACGUGAUUAGUUUGACCAUGAUAAUUAAUGAGUCAAAAAAUCACUGCCGUAUAUUAGCUAGAGCUUGUAUUAAUUUAUGGAGAGUUGGUGAAUGGUGUGGCAUGACGGGCGAUGACCGCCCGCAAUUGUCAAAAUAAUAAUAAUAAAAGUCUUUUACUCUUUUUUUUAAUUAUUUUUAUUACUCGAAUGAUUAUUUUUAAAAGUGACCUUCUAGAUGAAUUUAAUCUAAAUACUGAAGUCUUUUGUUAACAUACGCCUCUGUCUAAUGCAAAAGAAAGUUUGAUGAUGUUAUAUAUUUUUUAAAAUAAUUGUUGCCAAUUGUUUGUAAAAAAAAACAAAUAAUAAUGUAGUCUAAUAAUGGAAUGGAGUUGCUUUAGAGAGAGAGAGAGAGAGGCAUUUUAGAUUGGAAAAAGUAAAGUCAAAACCAAAAGAUGUGUCUUUAAACUUUACUACUUACACCUCACUAUCUCAUUUUUUAUUAUAUUUUUUAAAAUGUAGCUAGGGCUUACGUGAUAACUCAAGUUAAAAAUUAGAUAACUAUUAAAGAGUUGGGCUAUUUAAACUUAUUAAACUAUUCAUUAUAUGCACUUACUUAAUAAACACAUUUCUAAAAUUUAAAAUAUACAAUUUUAUUUUAUAAACCCAUUUUAUUAAGCUAAAUUAUUAUAAUUUCUCUUAUUCAUUUUAUUUUCACACCGUUUGUCCAUUCCUUCAUUCUUUUCUUCUUCAUUUAUGGACUUCUACCCAUCACUAGUUUAUCCUAAAUUCUUAAACUUCUCUUUUUUUUUUUAGUUGGUGUUUUCCCUUGAUAUCUCAUGUGUCUAGAGCAAUACCUUUAGGGUGCGUUUGGCACACUAUAUUAUAUUAUGUUGUAUUACGUUAUUUUAAUGCUGGUAUAUUGUAUUAUGAUGUAUUACAUUAGCACUGUAUUAUAAUAAUGUUGUACAAUGUUUCGUGCUACAUUGUAUUGUAUUAUUUUUUAAUUAAUUUAAAUGAAAUAUUAUAUUAUAUUAAUGUUUUAUAUUAUAUUAAUAUAUUUAAAUUGCAUUAAUAUUUUAUGUUAUUAUUUAUAUUAUUAUUAAUUUUAAAUUANNNNNNNNNNNNNNNNNNNNNNNNNNNNNNNNNNNNNNNNNNNNNNNNNNNNNNNNNNNNNNNNNNNNNNNNNNNNNNNNNNNNNNNNNNNNNNNNNNNNNNNNNNNNNNNNNNNNNNNNNNNNNNNNNNNNNNNNNNNNNNNNNNNNNNNNNNNNNNNNNNNNNNNNNNNNNNNNNNNNNNNNNNNNNNNNNNNNNNNNNNNNNNNNNNNNNNNNNNNNNNNNNNNNNNNNNNNNNNNNNNNNNNNNNNNNNNNNNNNNNNNNNNNNNNNNNNNNNNNNNNNNNNNNNNNNNNNNNNNNNNNNNNNNNNNNNNNNNNNNNNNNNNNNNNNNNNNNNNNNNNNNNNNNNNNNNNNNNNNNNNNNNNNNNNNNNNNNNNNNNNNNNNNNNNNNNNNNNNNNNNNNNNNNNNNNNNNNNNNNNNNNNNNNNNNNNNNNNNNNNNNNNNNNNNNNNNNNNNNNNNNNNNNNNNNNNNNNNNNNNNNNNNNNNNNNNNNNNNNNNNNNNNNNNNNNNNNNNNNNNNNNNNNNNNNNNNNNNNNNNNNNNNNNNNNNNNNNNNNNNNNNNNNNNNNNNNNNNNNNNNNNNNNNNNNNNNNNNNNNNNNNNNNNNNNNNNNNNNNNNNNNNNNNNNNNNNNNNNNNNNNNNNNNNNNNNNNNNNNNNNNNNNNNNNNNNNNNNNNNNNNNNNNNNNNNNNNNNNNNNNNNNNNNNNNNNNNNNNNNNNNNNNNNNNNNNNNNNNNNNNNNNNNNNNNNNNNNNNNNNNNNNNNNNNNNNNNNNNNNNNNNNNNNNNNNNNNNNNNNNNNNNNNNNNNNNNNNNNNNNNNNNNNNNNNNNNNNNNNNNNNNNNNNNNNNNNNNNNNNNNNNNNNNNNNNNNNNNNNNNNNNNNNNNNNNNNNNNNNNNNNNNNNNNNNNNNNNNNNNNNNNNNNNNNNNNNNNNNNNNNNNNNNNNNNNNNNNNNNNNNNNNNNNNNNNNNNNNNNNNNNNNNNNNNNNNNNNNNNNNNNNNNNNNNNNNNNNNNNNNNNNNNNNNNNNNNNNNNNNNNNNNNNNNNNNNNNNNNNNNNNNNNNNNNNNNNNNNNNNNNNNNNNNNNNNNNNNNNNNNNNNNNNNNNNNNNNNNNNNNNNNNNNNNNNNNNNNNNNNNNNNNNNNNNNNNNNNNNNNNNNNNNNNNNNNNNNNNNNNNNNNNNNNNNNNNNNNNNNNNNNNNNNNNNNNNNNNNNNNNNNNNNNNNNNNNNNNNNNNNNNNNNNNNNNNNNNNNNNNNNNNNNNNNNNNNNNNNNNNNNNNNNNNNNNNNNNNNNNNNNNNNNNNNNNNNNNNNNNNNNNNNNNNNNNNNNNNNNNNNNNNNNNNNNNNNNNNNNNNNNNNNNNNNNNNNNNNNNNNNNNNNNNNNNNNNNNNNNNNNNNNNNNNNNNNNNNNNNNNNNNNNNNNNNNNNNNNNNNNNNNNNNNNNNNNNNNNNNNNNNNNNNNNNNNNNNNNNNNNNNNNNNNNNNNNNNNNNNNNNNNNNNNNNNNNNNNNNNNNNNNNNNNNNNNNNNNNNNNNNNNNNNNNNNNNNNNNNNNNNNNNNNNNNNNNNNNNNNNNNNNNNNNNNNNNNNNNNNNNNNNNNNNNNNNNNNNNNNNNNNNNNNNNNNNNNNNNNNNNNNNNNNNNNNNNNNNNNNNNNNNNNNNNNNNNNNNNNNNNNNNNNNNNNNNNNNNNNNNNNNNNNNNNNNNNNNNNNNNNNNNNNNNNNNNNNNNNNNNNNNNNNNNNNNNNNNNNNNNNNNNNNNNNNNNNNNNNNNNNNNNNNNNNNNNNNNNNNNNNNNNNNNNNNNNNNNNNNNNNNNNNNNNNNNNNNNNNNNNNNNNNNNNNNNNNNNNNNNNNNNNNNNNNNNNNNNNNNNNNNNNNNNNNNNNNNNNNNNNNNNNNNNNNNNNNNNNNNNNNNNNNNNNNNNNNNNNNNNNNNNNNNNNNNNNNNNNNNNNNNNNNNNNNNNNNNNNNNNNNNNNNNNNNNNNNNNNNNNNNNNNNNNNNNNNNNNNNNNNNNNNNNNNNNNNNNNNNNNNNNNNNNNNNNNNNNNNNNNNNNNNNNNNNNNNNNNNNNNNNNNNNNNNNNNNNNNNNNNNNNNNNNNNNNNNNNNNNNNNNNNNNNNNNNNNNNNNNNNNNNNNNNNNNNNNNNNNNNNNNNNNNNNNNNNNNNNNNNNNNNNNNNNNNNNNNNNNNNNNNNNNNNNNNNNNNNNNNNNNNNNNNNNNNNNNNNNNNNNNNNNNNNNNNNNNNNNNNNNNNNNNNNNNNNNNNNNNNNNNNNNNNNNNNNNNNNNNNNNNNNNNNNNNNNNNNNNNNNNNNNNNGUUGGGUGCAUUGUAUUUAAACUCUCUAAAGUAUCAACGCUAAAACUAUACCGUGGAACAGCUCGCACUCUAGUAAGAGAAGUUUUGGUUGUGAAUAUGUCAUGGAAGCCAAGCAGAUGCAUGGUUUGCAGGCGUUCUGGCCACACCCAAAUCUAUAAAAAAAAUGUGAAACAAGAAAUACAGAGUAAAUAUCUGCUUUGGAAAUAAAUGCAAAAAUUUUUAUUCCACUUGCUUGUGACUAAACAACAUUUUGCAAGAGAUGAAGAGGACAGUUUUAAGUUCUCAUGGCACAUGUAGGAGGAAGAACAUACAAUUGGAUGCAUCCAAUAAUACAUGAGUGACAAUACAUUAGAUGUAUGAAUUUGGCCACAAUUAAAUCCACCAAAUGACAAUCUAACCCGCCCAGUUUCUAAAAAGUAAAACAUAUUUUAGAUGUUAGAAGAAUAAAAACUAUCAAAAUCCUUCUAAAUCAUCUACAAGUGAUCCAAAAAUUAGAUAACAUGUCAAUUUGCUGUAUAUAUGCUAUUGAUUUCAUCCCCCUUGGAGAGACCAUCGUGACGAUCGUUAUGUAAGAAAAGGUUUUCCGAUAUAAAAAGGGUGAGCAAACCUUUAUAUUGAGCUUAUGCGAUAUGUGAAAUAAAAGUUCUUCUUUUCCAAGUGAGUCAAUCCCAAUGAUGACGUCAUGAUCUGGAUGGGAGGCAAUUAUGUCAACAACCUGUUUUCAGGCAGAUAACUAACACUACAAAUCAGUACCUGGACUAUUUCUUUCAUCUACCAUUUUAAUCUUUAAUUCAGUAGAUAAUUCUGGAGUGAAACUGAAAGUUGUCAAACUAGAAAGGAAAAGAUAACGCAGGAGAGAAAUUUAAAAAGUGUACCUGCUGAGCUGCAACUUCUCGUGAAGGAAAAGCAUAUGAUGGAUUGCAAUAUGUGUUAUCUAAAUAAAGAAUGUCGACUACAUCAUCUUUUAAAGCUUUGACGAGCGUGUUCCUUCCUAUCUCGGCCCUCUCAUUACUUGCUUCCCAGCGAAAAUCACCAGUAUAGAGCAGGCAUCCAAAUGCUUCGCGAAAUAACGGCAUCACCGAGCCUGCCACGUACGAAAAUCAUCAUGAUCAAUCAAAAAAAUUGCCACAAUUUUCUCAAUAACAACGAUCGUGAUAAUACCGUAAGUAGAAAACUGAACUGCCUAGAAUUCCUUCCAAUUGAACAUAAAAUUGAGGUAUUAAAUAUCAAUAAAAAUAACCGUAUGCAAAAGAUAACAUUCCCCACUGAAGACACACACCAUAUAUUCAGAAUUCGGAUGUCAAUAAAUUUAUGACUUUGUUCAAUUUCUUGUUUAUUUUUCAAUAUAUGUCGAGCAACCUUUUUGUAAUUAAAUUAUUUCUCGCUAUACAAUUUUAUUAGAUGAUUUAAACGCGUUUAUUAUCGUGUGUGCGUGCGACCGUGUGUGUUGUGUGUGUAUGUAUCGACUUCUCGAAAGUAAUGCAGUCCGUUAUCAACGCCGUUAUCUUUACUGUCAGCUUAAUCGGGACUUACCGGGACAAUGGUGAGCGUCAAUUGCGCUAACUUCGACAAACGUCUUCUCUCCGGAAGACGGCGAGACCACGAAGAUCGAAUGCCACGAACCGAUAUCGAGGACGCGAAUCAACGAGAGGUCCAAGCCGGGGAACUUGAGGGGGAAGAGCUUGGCGGUGAGUCGCGAGCAGAAGAGUGGGCCCCUCGCCCACGCCGAGCUCAGGCCUUGGGUGUGGUCCAAGUGUAGGUGAGUUAAAAAGUAAACCUGACUUCCUUCUGUCCAUCGAUCCACCGAGAUCAGGCCUUUCUCCAUUUUUGUGCAUGAGAUCAGCGGUGGCGGUUUCUCAAUUGAGAGGGAGAAUUAAAACGGCUGUAUUUUUGAAAUUUCAAAUAUUUUUCAGCCUUUAUGGAUGAGUGAACCCGUUACCCGUGGCUCCUGGGUAGUGGAAAGCUGAAAUGCUUCAAGUUGUUGUGGACCCGUGGCGCUACUGGGUAGCAGUAGCACAUCUUUGGAUCCUACGGCGUCGUUUCAGUCAGCACCCUGCACCCGCACCGGUUGGCUUUUUCAAAGAGAUUGAAUGACGUAAGUAUUUAUCAUUUUAGAAGUCAUUUUUUCAAAGAUAAUUAUCUGAAAGAAUAUUAUUUUAAAGAAAAAGUAUUUAUCAUUUACUCUUCAAAGACUCUCCCAAUAUUAAAGAGGAUAUUUAUUCCUUCUACACAUUGGAAAAGAUAUAUAAUCAUAUCUAAUUAUAUAUUUAGGAGGUAAAUGAAGUCUCAAUAUAUACUCACAGUCAAAGGACACCAAUAUAAACAUGGCGUAUUUUUUAGGAUGAAAAAUAGUGUAUAAUUAUGUAGUGUUUUAAAUUAUUAGUACAUUGAGUUCGUGUUCCAUGGUUAUUAUUGUUCAGUAAUUUUUGGUGGAAUUAAAUUUAGGGGCAGUAAAAUGAAUAAAUUAAUCGAAUUUGAAUCGAAUAGUAAAUGAAUUAGGUCAAAAUUCUACGGAUUUAGAUUCAAUUUGUUUAUUAAACAAGUUGAAAUCUCAAGAUUCAGAUUCUCUUUUUUAUUAAAUGAAUAUUCAAUUCGAUUUGUUUAAUUAAUUUAGUAGAAUCAAUAAAUAAAUCGAAUUGAAUCGAAUCUUAAUUCAUUUACUAUUCAUAUAUCUUAUAAUGAAUCCAUAACGAAUCGAAUUAAAUAUGAAUUUGUUUACAAAAAUAUAAUUAAUAAAUAAAAAUUAAGCAAAAUAAAAUAUAAAAAGACCAAAAAUUUAACAUCUUAUAAAAUACAACUUAUUAUCAUUUAUAAUUAAUAUAUUAGCCUUCAAACUAUAAAAUUUUCAUACAUAUUUAAGGAUAAAUAAGUAAUUUAAUUAAACGAAAAAGUAAAUGAAUUAAUCAUAUUUGAUUCGAUUAUAACCUAUUUAUUAAGCGAAUCCUAAACUAAGAAAUAAAUAAAUAUCCUCAAACAUGAAUUCAAUUCGUUAAAUUAGCGAAUCAAAUUGAAUAAACGAAUCCUAACUCAGAUUGCCACUCCUAUAAUUAAUUAAUUAACUAUAUUUUUACUUAUUUAAAGAAAAUGAGAAGUGAAAAACAAACGAACCUAUCACAGACAACUUAUCCAAUAAAAACAUUUUCCACUAAACCAAGAAUCAGCUUAGCAAGUUAGCAUGAUAAAAAUAAACCCAUUCCAAGAAAAUGCAACGUUCUGUUAACUGAAAAAGCUACAAUUGCAUGCGCAUGGACCUUGGUACAUGUAAAUUGCAAGGUGCUCUGAGUAUUUUUUAUGAAUCAAAGAAUGAAAGAAUCAACAUAGAACAUUGCGGGUAAGUUCUCGCGCAAGCCCUCAAUUGCGGAAAUAUUGUUUUUUAACAGAUUCAGUAUAUGAAGUCCUCGAGGAAGGGCACCAGCGGUGAUCCUCACUACAAGGAGUAAAAGGACAGAUAAAAUGUUCAACAAAAGCGAUACUUCCUUGGAUCUGGAGUACACUAUUUUUGCAUGUAAUAGAUAAUAAAUGCACAAGGAUAGAGCUGCCAAUGGACGUGCAUACAUAUGGCAUUUCCUGAUUGAUUGAGACCCUGAGGCUGACAAAUGCACUAAAAAAAUCGGAUGGCAACCGAUCUAAGAUUUGACUGCUGAACUGUUGUGGCGGAGGCACUCAAAAAAGAUAUAUAUAUAUAUAUUUUUACAGCUUCCACGCCAGUAGUUACCUUACCAUCCACUUUAAUAGCAGUUGGACCAUUCAAGCCCUCAAAAUCUCUCUUCACCUGAUCAUUAGAAACAGAUGUUUCAUUUGAUUCUUCCAAUUGGCUGCAAUGCUAAAGAUCAUUAACCCACUCUUGAAUGCGCUUAAUCGUAAAAUGCUUGCCCGGCAAUUUAUCCCACUGGCCAUCCGCGGAUUCUCCUUGAAGGUAUUUUUCAGAGUUCUCAUCUGGCAUUACCCAAUCUUUUGCUAAAGCAGAAUAAUUAUAAGAAUCAUAGCAAUAGUCAGCCACAGAGUUCGCAAAUCUGUUUCCUCCAUUUUACACAGAUCAGCAUAUCUUUCUUGCUUUUGCAUAACCUGUGCGUCAAUGUUCUGAACUGAAGUAUCUUUUUGCCACAUGUGACAUGCCUAAAAUCUGUAGAUAAUCAGAAGAUCUGAAAUGAGGAGCAAAAUGUUUAAGAGUAGAGCAUUCUUUGGAAGGGCACAAAAAAUCUUUGAUGUUAGGCAAAGAACAUGAUUUUGCGAUCAAAGGAAGGGUAUGAGGCAUAAGGUCAGUACAAUUAUCAGCAGAGUCAACAAGACCAGAUAUUGGUUGUGGCCUUCCUUUUUGAAUUACGAGAAUCUCCGAUUGAGAAUAUAGAUUCAUUAUUAAUAUGAAAUAAUAUUGAGAGUGGAGCUUUUUGAUACUGGGUGGGCUGACAACCGGAGCCAUUUUGUACUGUUUGACCAUUUUGGUCAUUGGGAAUCAGAAGAGAACCCCUCAGUCUCCUCCUGUAUCAUUUUCACCAAGAUACUCCCCCUCCCAGCAUAGUCAACUUCCAAGAGAUAGGCUUUUUUUCAGCUGUCCUAACUUACGGAUCCCCAUGCCAUUUUUCAGAAUUGAUUAUGCCCUUUAUUUCGUCUGAUUUCCAAACACGUUCAAUUGAGGAAGAACUUGCAAGAUGCUUGGCAUCAUCUGUUGAGUGCAUGAAGAACACCAGGUCGGCCAUGCAACUAGUUCCAUCCCAGAACGGAUUGCUUCAUCUCUUAUAUACGAGCAGAGCAUGUGGGCAAGCAUGAGCCGAUCAGAGGAGAGAACAACCAGGGAAACAUACCGACCAGAAAUAUAUGCCGAGCCAAUACUCAUCCCCAGGAAAGCGGGAACACGAUCCCACAAAACCGCGGUAGUUGCGUUUCUCCCAGAACGGUUGAAGGACACGCGAGAUCCACGUUUGCCCACAAUCUAACAGUUAGAGUCCCAUGAGGGGCUACCACCACCCGAAAAAGGAGGAAUCAGGGGCAAACGGAAAACGUGGGACAAAGGGCGGCUAUAAAAGAGAAAGACAUCGAAGAAGAUAGGGAGAUAAAAAAAAGAGAGAGAGGGGAAACGCUGCCAAAUUGCAACCAGGCCAUUUCCUUACAAAUUUCCUGAAAUCAUAUUACACUGUUUUCCCGUAAACACCUUGUGCUAACUUAGGCAUCGGAGGGUUUACGCCGGCAAAACCACCGGCGUCUCUGAUCCGUUUUUGGUGAACGCAGGUCUAGCGAGGGAAAAGAAGGUGAUUCCAGCCUGAGUGGUUCGAGCAACAGUCAAUAACGUAAACGUUGGUGAAAGAAUCUGGUCGGUCUAAGGACGAGCAGAUUUCAGCAUCAACAAGCACCUUCCUUGCAAAGAUAAUAACAAUGGCAAUUUAGUUGAUGACAUGCACCCCAAGCAGGUGUUGUGGGAUGCAAAUGAGUGCAAAAUUGAUGGCAUUCUGGUUGCUUGUAUGGAGAGGGUGAGCCUGGUACUUUCUCAUUUUGGCAUACAUGCAACCAUCUAUGGCUUUCACCUGUAACAACACCUCAAACUAGUCAUAUAUAGGAUCUAAAUAAGUUUAUUGUUUUGAUAAUUUUUAAACAAACUUUCUCCAGGUUUUCCAAAACGGAAAGAUAGUGUCGACAAGUAUAAAGCUCAGAUAUAUGAGUUUCAAAACGUGUUAAUGUUUAAUAAAGUGAGUUUUAUGUAUAAAUAAUUACCUUGAUUAAAGGAGAUGAAAGUGAUGAAGAGGAUUAAAGCUACAGAAAGAGGCCUCAUCUUUGAUUGAAACGAAUUUGAAUUAUUCCGGAUAAAAUUGAAGAAAUUAAGAGAAAGCGUUCCCUUAUAUACAAGGGCGAGUGCGUGCUUUGGCUUCGAGUAAAUUAUAUUUAUUAAAGGAAGGCAAAUCCGAGAAAUUUAUGAAAAUGAUCUGGCGUAGCAUAUCUUGAAGUUCUAGUGCCUAAAUUGCUGCAAUAAUUUAUAUAACGCUGAUUUUUUCCCCGUGUAAUAACAUAUUACUUGUUCUCUAGAAGUUUUUAGAAUCAAUCAUUAAGUUCAUGACCUAUCUACUUGACAGGAAGUGCUAAAAUAAAAAAAAUGUUUAUAUACAUUUUUUUUAUUAGAGGGGGCUCGUCAAGACGAGCUAAACAGGAACAAAACGGGGUUGAGUAACCUCAAACAUGUCUUGCGAAAUAAUAGAAUCAAUACUUACAGGUGGACUAGAGAAUACGUGCAAUCCAAGAGGAAUUGAAUGAGCCAUAUUAGCCAUGAAGUCCGCAGCUGAAUUUGCUUCCCGAAAGAUGUGAGUGAUAGCAAUCUGUCAGUUUCUACUUAAUAAUUCCCUAACAGCAACAACUAAAGCAUAGAAAAUGUUGGGAACGACCACCUGCUUAGAGAUCAUUUGAGUAACACAAAGAUUAUUUAUAUUUUGUGUGAGUAUUGACUUGGAAACACCGUGAUGUUAGCCCCGGGGUACUUUGCCCUCAUGACAAGUUGAAUUCUAGUAACCAUAGAAGAUAUCAAGUGGCUAAAAUUUCUCAUCCUAUUCAAACCUUUUAAGGGAAAAAAGAAAUUAAAAUUCUGACAUGUGAUUCUACCAUGAUAUCAACAUGAAUUUUUAAUUAUUAUUUUUAUUAUUUUUAUUUAGGUUACCAGACCCCAACUAACCCCACACACAUACAAAAUGGGAUGCACUAGUCUUUUGGUGUUGUCAUCUCGUUGACUAUGUUAUUGUUCUUCCUCAAAAUGCUGAGGAAAUAGCUUGGGAGUAGACUCUGAAUAGAUCCAUUACUUGUGCUUGUGCAUACACUGUGGCGGAAAAAUAAUUAAAACAAAAUAAAAACUUCAUUACCAUAUAUAUUUUAUUCGUUUGUUUUAUUUAUUAACAACUGCUUUAGGCUAAUCCAGAGAUCGAACAAACAACAUUACUAUUAAGUGCUAAGGCGAUAGCUUGGAACAACCAAAAGAUGUUUGGCCCGAGGAGUCACCAAACCAAACUCUUUUGUCAUGUCCAAUUCAGUUGGCAACAUUCCCUCAGGAAGCUCCCAAUCAAAGCAAUGUACCAGCUGUGCGGUCACUUGCUUAACGACGGUGAGUCCCAAUUGUAUUCCAGGGCAACCCCUGCGGCCAGAACCAAAUGGCAAAAGCUGGAAGUUACGUCCGCGAACAUCAACACUACUCCCAACAAAUCUUUCUGGAAAAAACUUCUCAGGAUCAUUCCAGGCUUUAGGAUCCCUUCCAAUUGCCCAAGCAUUUAUAAUUACUCGCGAUUUUCUGGGUAUGUGGAAUCCGUUAACUGUGCAGUCUUCCAUAGAUUCGCAUGGAACUAACAAUGGCGUUACAGGAUGAAGCCGCAGAGUUUCCUUGACAACCAUGUCUAGGUAUUCUAGGUUUUCCAAAUCUUAUUCUUCAACCAUUCUUUUUAAGCCCACAAUAUUUUCUAGCUCUCUUUGUAGUUUCUUCAUCACCGUAGGAUGCUUGAUGAGUUCUGAAAGUGCCCACUCGACUACCGUUGGUGAAGUGUCUAUCGCUCCCGCAAGCAAGUCCUGAAAUUGAGGAAACCAUAAAUAACUGAAGCAGAUAUUUAGGGUUAAAAUUGACUCAUGCAGAUAGGGAUGACAACCAAACCAGGACCCCGCCCGGACCCAGACUGAACCCGCAAAAUCUUGACCGGGUUCAACCCGCACCGGAACAAUUUUCAUGCGGAAUCCGAAUGAAAUUUUGCAGACUUCCAAGUCUGGAUCCGGGUUUCGGUGAACCCGUAAAUCCGGAACCUGGAUCCGAAUAUUAUUUAUUUUAAUAUUAAUUUUUUGGAAAUUAUUAAAUAUAAAUAGAAAAAUUAAAAAAACAAAAAGAAGCCCUAGCCGCCUAGCAUCUCUCACUCUCUCUUCAACUCUCCUCUGAUUUCUCUUCUUCAAAUCGCAUGGCUAUCACCACCUUCGCGGCGCGGCUGUCACCACCUUUGCGACGUGGCUGUCACCACUUUCGGGACGCGGCUCUCUUUGUCUCGUCAGCAUCACUAGCCUUCUUUGUCGCGACCAGCAAAAAGGGUUGAAAUCCUCUCAAUCGCAGCUGUCUUCUGUCCAGCACAAGACAUGCCCACACGGUUUUGAAAAUUUUGGCUUCCCAACUUUCAAACCCCCUCAUACUUCCCUUAUCCAUUUUAUUAUUAAAAAUGAAUCUUCAGUGCAUAAAUAAAAAAAAAAUCAAUUUCAAAUUUCUUUUAUCAUUCUAAAUAAAUUUAUCAAGCUAAAUUAGCUAACCAAGACAUUAUUGUUUAAUUUAAGCAAAGCAAUCCGGGUUCAAAACCCGGAAUCCGGAAACCAGGAUUUUUUUUUUUUUUUACAAGCUAAAUAUGUGCAGCAAGAGUCUAGAAAUCAUAGGUUCUCUUGAAACUUAUGUUGGUUAUGGGAUUAAAGAAUUGCUUAAUCGUACGAAAACCCAGUGGCGUAGGCGUGGCCAUAUUUUAUACAUAGCGAGGGCAAAUUUAAUUUACUUAAAGAAUGCGAUUUGAUGUGCUUACCAUAACUACGGCUUUGAUAUGCUCUCGUUCGAUCUUUUUUCUCGGUGUCUUCUGAUCCCUCGAAGCUCAACAUCACAUCAACGAAAUCCUGGGUUCUAUUUUCAUCCUUAGAUUGAAUAUGCUCAUCGAUAAUCUUCUCCAUAAACGCAUCAAACACCUUGGCAACAGCCUUCAAACGCUUUGUCAGGCCCUGAAGAUCAAGUCCUGCAAUUUGAGGAAUGUAAUCACCCAAAUUAGGCUUUCCAACCAAUUCGAAGUCCUCUUGAAUCACAGUCUCAAACCCUCUCUCAUCGAAUUCAUCAUCCGAACGUUUCUUCCCAAGUACCAUUCUACAGGUCAUGUUAGCACUCAAAGCCGAAAGCUUGGCACUUAUGUCAACCACACAAGGGGCACGCGCCGCCUCUUUGAAGUACUCAAUCAAAAGAUCAAGCUCUUCUUUUCUUAUAGGCUGAAAAUAAUUGAUCUUGGCAUUAGUCAACAGAUUUUGGGUGCAAAGUUUUCGGAUUUUUCUCCAAUAAGACCCAUAUGGGGCCAUUGCAAAAUUCUUUUGCUGAUAAGAAAUAUACUUGGUAGCUUGAAGGGGAGGCCUGCUGGCAAAGAUAAGGUCAUGUGUUUUGAGAAAUUCAGCUGCUUGUGGUGAAGAGACAACAAUUGUAGUCAUUAAGCCCAAGCGUAAGUGCAUGAUGGGGCCAUAUAUUUUGGCUAGUUUAUGCAAAGCUCUGGGAGGAAAUUUGCCUAACAAAUGAAGGCAUCCGACAAUUGGAAACCCUUUUGGCCCUGGAGGCAAUAUCUUUCUGUUCUUUGUGUGUGGUUUCGAAGAAAAUGCUUGGAGGAAAAAGAAAAUUGCAGCUAGAGUAAGCAAAGUCCAUAACCAUGAAAUGAUGAUCUAGUAAUGCUAGAAAAUUGAGACUCCAGUUUUCAGUGAUGAAGAUGCAGAAUUGGUGCAACCGGGACGUUUAUUUUUAUAGUUGGAGAAUUUGUUCGCAGUCAAGAGAGUUAGUGAAGCGGUUUAGUAGUGAAGGUGUUUAACUUUUGUGAUAUCCCUUAGUGAAGGGGUUUAGUGAAGGUGCUUAGCUUUUGUGAUAUCCCUUAGUGAAGGUGUUUAGUAGUGAAGGUGUUUAGCUUUUGUGAUAUGCUUCUUUUGCUUCCAUUGUUGUUAUUUGUUGGACUUCAAAGAGACAAUUUUAAAGAAAGAGUUGCAGCGAGAGGCAUGAUUACACUUGUACCCAAAAUUUCAGAAAAUUUUAAAAUAAUAGAUUAAAUAAUAGAAAGUAAGUGCCCAUUAAUGACUGGCAACCCCUUCGAAAAAAUUUCCCUUAUAUUUUAGUCUCGCGUCCUUAUUAUUUUAUUUUUUAUUUUGAAAAAUUAUCAUUGCACCACCUUUAUUUUAUCUUAUGUUUAUUCAACCAUUAUAAAGUUUUAACAUGAAUUUUGCACCACAUUUCUUUUCACAUUUGUAUCAACUAGUCACUCUUGCAUUAAUACUAUUAAAUAAUUUUAAUAAAAUGAUAAUUUUACCCCUAAAUAAAUUAAAAGACUAUUUUAUCUUAUAAAAACUUUUAAAAUUAAAAAUUAUAAUCAUAAAAAUAUCCCUAAAUUUCAUAAAAAAAUAAAUCCCAAAUAGAGGUGCUCAAUGGAUUUUUACUAAAUUUAGAUUUUAUAAAAUUUUAACAAUUAUUUUGAUUAAAAAUUAUAAUUUUACAAAAUUUUAAUAAAAAUAAAUGAAUUUAUUUAUUGAAAAUUAUAAUUUUGUAAAAUUUUAUUAAAAUAACUGAAUUUAUUUCUUAAAAGAAUAAAUCCUAAAAUUUUAAUAACUUAGGUGAUUUUUAUUAAACCCCAAAAUUUUGUAAUUAGUUUUAUAAUUAUAUUUUUAUAUUAAAAAUAAAAUUCUAAUUUUGGGAUUUAUUUUUAUUAAAUUUAGGGAUGUUUUUAUCAUUAUAUAUUUUUUUAUUUUUUGAAGUUUUUAUAAAAUAAAAUGAUCUUUUAAUUUAUUUGGGGAUAAAAUUAUCAUUUUAUUAAAAUUAUUUAAUAGUGUUAAUGCAAAAGUGGCCAGAAUUUUGUAGUGGUUGGAUGAACAUAAGACAAAAUAAAAGUGGUGCAAUGAUAAUUUUCCUUUUAUUUAUAUAAAAUUAUCCAACUUUUUUUUACUUCAAUCAGGACUUUAGAUUUGGCAUUUUCAUCUUCAGUUCUAUUUCUUUUUUCAAGUUUUUUUUAUUACAUGAGACUAUUGUUUAAGAGUACAACUCCUAUUACAUGAGAUUACAAAUUAGACUAUUACUAUGACUAGUUUACAUUAUUUCUUAUGAAGUCCGCCUAGAUAUUUGGUGUCUUCAUCUUCAAUUCUAUUUCUUUUUUCAAGUUUUGUUUUUAUUGCAUGAGACUAUUACUCAAGAGUAGGGAUGGCAACCAAACCCGGACCCAGACUGAACCCGGAAAAUUCGGUCCGGAUUCAACCCGCACCGCAAUAAUUUUUAUGCAGAAUCCGAAUCAGUUUUUGAGAACCCGCAUACUUCCGGGUCCGGGUCCGGUUUCAGGUGAACUCGCAAAUCUGGAACCCGGAUCCGGAUAUUAUUUAUUAAAUAUAAAUAGAAAAAAAAAACAAAAUGGAGCCCUAGAUCUCUCAAUCUCUCUCGUUCGGUUCCUCUCUCGAUCUCUCACUCUCUUCAACUGUAAUUUCUCUUCUCUCAAUCUCUCAUAUGUUCCUCUAAUCCUCUCUCAAUCUCUCUCACCCGUUCCUCACUUAAUCUCUCUCACUCUCUCUUCAACUCUCCGUAAUUUCUCUUCUUUAGAUUAGAUCAGAUCCUUCACGGCGUGGCCUGUCAUCACCUUUAUGGUGCGGCUGUCAUCACUCAUCAGCAUCACUCGUCUCAUCUCUCACUCUGUCGCGGCCAGCAAAAGUGGUUGAAAUCCACCUCAGUCGCGGUUGUGUUCUGUGUUCAUCAGCAUAUCCUUAAGCUACCGCUGUGAAUAUUUGUGAGUCUCGGCUUUGCUUUAGUUGUUGGUUACUGUAAAUUUAGUGCUAAUUUAAUGAGAACUGUACUGCCCUCUUGUUGAUAAUAAUGGUGCUUUAGCAUUCUAAUCUUUUUAAGUUUGUAGCGCUUUUACUUUCGUAGAUUUUAGUUUCCAAUUGUUGUAUGUGCAAUUUGGAUGAAAAGGUCUGCUUGUUUGUUUGUUUGUUGGAAAGGAGGAUAAAGUAAGCAAUCUGGUUCUAGAAAUCUUAUUUGUGUUCUGUUUUUUUGUGUUUUUUCCAGCAGCUUAAGUAAAACAAUCUGGGUUCAAAACCCAGAAUCCGGAAACCCAGAUUUUUUCGGGUUGAGCCCGGACUGGACCCGGAUUAAAAAUAACCGGGUUUAAUACGGGUCCGGUUAUGAGAAUUUUGUGUCCGGGUCCGGAUCCGGAACAGCAGAACCCAGACUUGGACUCGGAAAUUGCCAUCCCUACUCAAGAGUAUAACUUAUAUUACAUGAGAUUACAACUGAUAUUUAAAAAUUAGACUAUUACUGUGACUAAUUUACAUAAAUUCUUAUGAAACCCGCCCAUAUUUUUACUCUCUCUAAUAUUCGAAGGACUUCUACUCCAUAUUUUGAAGGGGAGAAGACUGUCUUCACUUAAAUUGAGAAAGAAAAUUAAACUCCCACAAUGUAUUGUGGGGGUUCGAACCCAUUACCUCACAAUUGUGAGGUAUGGGUUGUAACCACUAGGAUAAAGCCUAGUGGCUUUUUUUUUUCAAGUUCAUUUCACAUAAAUUAACAAUUUCUGAUUCUCCCACACAGGACUGCCAAUCGUACCUCAAGAUUCAAGGUUUGGUUACCCUGUCUUAUUCUUUUCAUCUUUUUUAAAGUUUUUAUUAUUUGUACUUAUUUCUUUAAAUCGUUAUUGAUUUAUGAUUGAAUUAGGGAUUAAGAUUCUCUCUUGAAAAAAUAACUCAAUUGCUGAUUGAUUAUUAAUAAAUAAAAAAUUAAAAGAAGUUAAAUUUUACCCAUACACUAUCACUAAAAGACACAUGACAGAAGAUCUUUAAAAGCUCAGAUUAGGAGAGGAUCUUAUUCCUUGAAUUAGAUGGUAUAAGAUAUAAUUAUUUUUUUUAUUUUCAUACAAUUAAGAUUUGAAUAGUAUUUAUUUUAUUAAUGUUGCCAACUCUUUUUUGUUUAUGUAUUAAAUUUUUUUAUCAUAAACUUCAAAUUUUGUGCUAUGAUCGAAUUAGCCCCCUAACCAAAAUUCUGAACUUACAACAUAACUUUUUAGAACCUACCAAAUCAAAAUUCUGCCCCAAGGUGCCGCAUCCUUUGAAUCACGAAGCUGAAGUUAUUGAAAUUGAAGCCAACAUUUUGGCUAUGAAGGACGGCUCUUUUCAGAGCUCAGCAUUCCAAUUCUUUUUUCUCGACAGAGAGACAAGAAAAGUAGAGAGGGCUGUGAUCUUAUAAAGAGGGAAAAAUUAGUUCCUCUUUUAUAAAUUUUACUUUCCCAGUUUUAAGUGAGAGAGGGGAAUAUUAGAAUGGUGUCCUGUGAAGAAACGUAUAUAUGGCAUUGUAUUAAUAUUUAUUAAGGUGAAGCGCGCGGCUGCGCGUUGUUACAAUAGUUGAGUUUUAUCAAGUGUUACUUUAUUUUAUUUUUUAUUAUUACUAGUCAUUAAAUUAAUCAAAGUUCCAAUUAAACUAAUUCCAAGCCUAUUCUUGUUAAUAAUAUUACAGCAAGAAGUUUGCGGAAACCUAUCUUGAUAUGUAGUUCAUCUGAAACUCAGUUUAGAGAUUAAUUCCAAAAAAAUAUGGAGAAGCCCAUUUCUAACCGAAGAGAAGUUUUACUAUGAUAACCUAGUAAUUUGAACUAUCAUUCUUAACAGUAAUGAAUAGAGGUGUCAACUAUUAGGAUAAGGAAUGGUCGAUAGUUCCAAGCCAUAUUUUCACUUUAUUAUUUUUGUUAUAUGUUUCAAGCCAAAUCAUAGGGGUGAGUUUGAUAAUGGCUCUUCUUUUCCUGUUGGUCACAUUUUAUGUAAAUCAAUUUAUUCGAAACCGGUAAUUGAACUUGGUCGUUAAGAAAAUCCAAAACGCUAGUUAAUUAGUCUAGAUGAUAAUUAUGUGAAAAGAUUCUAAUUGCUGUUGGAGAAAGGGAAGAAGUCAUCUAAAGAUAGAUAGAUAGCUCACCUGUAAAUAUGAAACAAGGGUGGGUGUUUGAUAAUAAUUUUUAAAAUUAUUAUUGUUAGUUGUGCUAUAACAAUAACUAGAAGUGAAAAGUAUUUGUUAUGCGUUAAAUAAAUUUUAUUUUAAAAGUAUUGUGAGUUUUGAAAGUGACUCCAUAGAUUUCAUAAAUCUUACUAUUUUAUUAUUGUAAGAUUGCAAAUGGUUAAUAAGGACAUAAUGUUAAAUGAAAUCUACUUACAAACACAAAUAAACAUGCAUAUAUAAGUCUCCAAAAGCCUGGCCAAGUGAUUUCUAAACAGAUCUAAAAGAGUACUAACUAUUGAAAUCAUUUUUAACUUCUCAAAAUCAUUUUUGAAUUUCUCAAUUGCAGUCACAAACAGCCCCAACAUUAAAAAUUAUUGAGUAACAAUCGUACAAAUUAUUUCAUAAGCUUUAAGCUCAUUGAAUGAAUUAUAUUUUUAAAGUUCUAAGUUCAAAUAGUUUAAUUUGUCUGGCCACCUUAGUUUGACUCGCAAGAGUUACAAGAUUAUAUGAAAUUAAAAAUUUACCAAAGCCUUCUAUAAUAAUUAUGAUGCCGCACAACUCAAAUAUUUAGGUUCAAUAUCUACUUUCAAAUAUUAGUAAGUGUUGAGUGUUAGAAAAUGUAUAUUUAUAAAGGAGAAAAUCGUCAUUUUACAUUUCAAGUUUUACUAACACCUUUACUUUUAUGUAUUUAACCUUCUUUUGAUUUAAUUCCGUGUAUAUUUUAAUUAAGUAUUUUAUGUAUUUUAGGGGCAUCAUAGUCAUUUCACAAUAAACGAGAGAUCAGACGGCAAAACGGACAUCACUUUUGAACUCAGGACGGUCGAAAACCUUAAGAGGGGCAUAAAAGGAAAAAUGGCACUGUUCACAUGUACGGUACUAUUCACGUGUACGGUACUGUCUACGUUACUGUUCACGACAUUGUUCACAUAGACAGAUCGAUGAUGUGGCAUUGACUGAUGAUAUGGCAUUGACUGAUGAGGUGUCACGAUCCUGUUGGACUAAAAUUCUUAUGUACUGUUGAUGGUGACAUGGCAGCAUAUCGGUGGACCAAAAAUCUUGCGUACGAUACAUGCAUCACACAGAAUUAUUUUUAACCAAACUGCGUCACUGUUUAACCUGGGUCAAACCGUGUUACUGUUCAUCCACAUGGUCAAACCGCGUACUGUUGACUGAUGACGUGGUGCAAUCCUGAGCGUCUAAACUGUUUUUAAUCCGAUGGCCAUGAUUUACUCCAUGUAUCUAUAAAAAAGGGCCCUCCCCCCCUAAUUUGAUAUCUCUGAAUCUAUUUUUGGGAUCCAUUUUCUGUAAUUCCUUCUCCAUCUUGUAUUUUCUAUGUAUUUUAAUAAAUUUCUAUUUUACCCAUAGUUCAAUUAUGAGUAGCUAAUUUUCUUUCAAGUUUGGGUUGAAGGUGAAGUCUCAACAUGUGUCAUGGGCUUUAUUUGGUAAAUUUACUUUCUCUUCCCCUCUAAUUUUUGUGGAUGUUUUGACUUCUCGUCGAUAAAUAAUACUAAUCUUGUCUAGUACCGCCUUAGUUUCACCGGCCCCCUAGUACAAUGUUAUUAUUAUUUGGCACGAUAAGCCCUUAGCACCAUAUUGAUUAGAGCGUGGUUCAUGAGGUGUGGAUUCCCCCCUCAUGAUUUAAUUGGCAUUAAUAAGGAUUAUUUAGCCCAUGAUGCAUGUUGAUACGGAUCCAGAUACCCAAAUACGUCAUUUCAAUAGAUUUCUCUUCAAUUUAUUCUCGUCAUUUUAAUUCCAAUUUUAGAAUUUAUUCUUGUCAUUUCAAUUCCAAUUUUAGGAUAAUCUUAGUCACCUUCACCAUAAAAUACAACCACCCAUUUACAAAAUUAAUUCUAUACACAAUUAAAAUCCACCUCCUCGUGGGAUCGACAUUUGUCUCCAUUACUCUAUUCUACAAAAGAUUCGUGCACUUGCGAGUUCAAUAAAAUUUGCAUAACAGUAAGCAAUCUUCUUUAAAUAAAAUUUGCACAACAAUAUACUUUUGUUUUUGUUUCUCUUAACGGCUUCUCUAUGCUAAUCCAAAAAUUGAACAAAUAACAUUAUCACUAAAUGUUCAGGCAAUAACUUGGAAUAGCCAAAAGAUGUUUGGUCCAAGGAGUCACAAGACUAAACUCUUCUGUCAUGUCCAAUUCAGUUGGCAACAUUCCCUCAGGAAGCUCCCAAUCAAAGCAAUGAACAAGCUGUGUAGUCACUUGCUUAACGAUGGUGAGUCCAAGCUGAGGCCAACAAAAAAUGGCAAAAGUCGAAAGUCACAUCCACGAAGAUCAACUGAUGGUUGUCGAAGCUAGUAAAAAUAAAUACAUACUCUAAAUAAAUCGAUGAUGUGGCAUUGACUGAUGAUAUGGCAUUGACUGAUGAGGUGUCACGAUCCUGUUGGACUAAAAUUCUUAUGUACUGUUGAUGGUGACAUGGCAGCAUAUCGGUGGACCAAAAAUCUUGCGUACGAUACAUGCAUCACACAGAAUUAUUUUUAACCAAACUGCGUCACUGUUUAACCUGGGUCAAACCGUGUUACUGUUCAUCCACAUGGUCAAACCGCGUACUGUUGACUGAUGACGUGGUGCAAUCCUGAGCGUCUAAACUGUUUUUAAUCCGAUGGCCAUGAUUUACUCCAUGUAUCUAUAAAAAAGGGCCCUCCCCCCCUAAUUUGAUAUCUCUGAAUCUAUUUUUGGGAUCCAUUUUCUGUAAUUCCUUCUCCAUCUUGUAUUUUCUAUGUAUUUUAAUAAAUUUCUAUUUUACCCAUAGUUCAAUUAUGAGUAGCUAAUUUUCUUUCAAGUUUGGGUUGAAGGUGAAGUCUCAACAUGUGUCAUGGGCUUUAUUUGGUAAAUUUACUUUCUCUUCCCCUCUAAUUUUUGUGGAUGUUUUGACUUCUCGUCGAUAAAUAAUACUAAUCUUGUCUAGUACCGCCUUAGUUUCACCGGCCCCCUAGUACAAUGUUAUUAUUAUUUGGCACGAUAAGCCCUUAGCACCAUAUUGAUUAGAGCAUGGUUCAUGAGGUGUGGAUUCCCCCCUCAUGAUUUAAUUGGCAUUAAUAAGGAUUAUUUAGCCCAUGAUGCAUGUUGAUACGGAUCCAGAUACCCAAGUACGUCAUCUCAAUAGAUUUCUCUUCAAUUUAUUCUCGCCAUUUCAAUUCCAAUUUUAGAAUUUAUUUUCGCCAUUUCAAUUCCAAUUUUAGGAUAAUCCAAAUCAUUUUCACCACAAAUCCAACCACCCAUUUACAAAAUUAAUUCUAUACACAAUUAAAAUCCACCUCCUCGUGGGAUCGACAUUUGUCUCCAUUACUCUAUUCUACAAAAGAUUCGUGCACUUGCGAGUUCAAUAAAAUUUGCAUAACAGUAAGCAAUCUUCUUUAAAUAAAAUUUGCACAACAAUAUACUUUUGUUUUUGUUUCUCUUAACGGCUUCUCUAUGCUAAUCCAAAAAUUGAACAAAUAACAUUAUCACUAAAUGUUCAGGCAAUAACUUGGAAUAGCCAAAAGAUGUUUGGUCCAAGGAGUCACAAGACUAAACUCUUCUGUCAUGUCCAAUUCAGUUGGCAACAUUCCCUCAGGAAGCUCCCAAUCAAAGCAAUGAACAAGCUGUGUAGUCACUUGCUUAACGAUGGUGAGUCCAAGCUGAGGCCAACAAAAAAUGGCAAAAGUCGAAAGUCACAUCCACGAAGAUCAACUGAUGGUUGUCGAAGCUAGUAAAAAUAAAUACAUACUCUAAAUAAAUUAUGUAUAGUGAUUGAACAGGGUCGUAUCCACAGAGAUCGAUAAUUAUUUAAAUCAUUUUAAAAUGAAAAAUGCAAAAUGGGGGGAUUGUUGACAAUAAUAAAAUCAAAUUAAAAUAACAAGAAUACAAAUUAAAAUUGUAAUUCAAAUUGGGAGAAGCUCUGGUUGAAGGAAUUAACUCAACUUGAUUCGACUAUUGAUUAUUGAUUCAAAUAUAAAUCAUUACUACUUAUGAAUAGACCGGUUAUAGCUAUUGAGACCUUUUAAUAGCCAAUCUCUCCUUAACUAGUCGAUAACCAAGGUACGACCAUUGGUUAUUUCCCUAAUCAAUAGACAACCCUAGAUAUGAUUAUAGGAUUUAAUCAAUUGACAGUCUGAAAAACUAGAGAGACCCAAAUCCUAAUCAACAAACGCAUACGAUGGUUCAUUUAAAUUAGAUUGUUUAUUCUCAUAACACAACGCACUGCUAUGCUAUUUGUCACAAACAUUAAAAUCUUCACAUGAUAAAUCUUUUAAUUGACAAUAGAUUAAGUUGAUAAUUAAAUAGUGGCCAAUUAUCUAAUUAACAAACAUAAUCAUGACAAUAAUUUAGAGAAUAAACAAAUACCCAAAAAGUAAUAAAACAAUUAAAAUAUAAGAAAGAUCUCACAGUAAUGUUGAAUCAAAGCUUCAUUAACUUUCAACCAAAAUAAUAGGUUUAGUUCUUCAUAGAGAGGAGAAAAAUUUAGAUUUAGGGUUUCUUUUUCUUCCUUUUUCAAAAAUCUACCCCUACCCAUUUUUCACGUCUCCUCUCUCUUAUAGAGUUUUUCCUAAAAUGAAAUACUAAUAUCUAAAAUAUUAUCUAAAUAUUAGAUUCAAAAUUACAAAAAUACCCAAAAAGACAAAACACGUUAAACUAAAAACUGCAGGUCCUUAGUUGACAGCACGCGCCCAAGCCUUAUCAAUGAAGUUCUUCUGAAACUCAUAAUUUCUCAAGGAAAACAAUCAUCCUAAAAAAUCAUGUUGUAUCUCAAUUUUAGCACCAAUCAAUAGAAUUGCACCUACAAAAAUAAGACACAAGUAAAUCACUAUUAUUAAGUACAAAACAUCGAUAUUAAAGGAAGUAAACAUUACAAAACUAGUGCAUAAAUUGCACUCAAACAUCAACAUUACUCCAAACAAAUCUUUCCAAAAAAAAAAAACUUCUCAGGAUAAUUCCAGGAUUCAGGAUCUCUUUCAAUUGUCAAUCAUUUAUAAUUACUUGCAAUUUUUUGGGUAUAUGGAAUCCAUUAAUUGUUCAGUCUCAGUAGAUUCACGUGGAACUAACAAUGGCACUACUAGAUGAAGCCGCAUGGUUUCCUUGACAACCACUUACAAUUAUUCGAGGUUUUGUUUCUAAAUUUGACUCUUCAACCAUUCUUUUUAAGCCCACAAUAUUUCAUACCUCUUGUUGAAAAGCCAAGUUUCAAGCUUGCAAUUGUUGAGUAGUUGCAUGAGACAGCUAGCAUGCAAAUUUCAAGUAUGCAAUUGUUGAGCUAGCAUGUGGAGUUUGACUAUAAUUCCAUGACAAAGUUGGCACUAAUUGCCAAAAUUUUCUAAUUUGGCAAAUUGAAGCCAAAUUGAAACUUGUUGUAGGUGGGCAAUGCUCCCUAUAAAUAAAAGAGUCAUUCUUCAUUUGUUACACAUCCCAGUUGAGAGUGUUGCGAGUAAUUACAAGUGAAACAAUUUGAGAGAUUUGAGAGACCUUUCACUUGAGUGUUCUAGUGAGGUUCCAUUUAGGUGUAUUAGGUUUUGUGAGCUUUUCCCACAAUUGUAAAUUUUCAUUUGUUAGUAAAAUUAUCUUUCAGUCUUUGCCCGUAGACGUAGGCAUAAUGUUGAACCAAAUAAAUUAUUGUGUCUUAUUUUAUUUGCAUUUGUUUAUUACUGCAUUCAUAUUUCUCCAAAAGUCGUAGUCACCAAAAAAUUGGUAAUUGUUCAACCCGCGCUUCUGCAACAAUUGGUACCAGAGUCGAAGGUUCAUGCUUGGGGCAUACGACAUUGUUCACAUAUACGAAACUUUUCAUAGAUGCGGUAUUGUUUAUGUUUACGGUACUGUUCAUUGAUACGGUACAAACAACCAUUUAUACUUGAGAGGCUGUCUAUUGUAAGUAGUGUGUAUUUUUUGCAUGUCUAAGAAAGUUCUGUCAACAAAGCGAUAAGAACCUAAGGAGUCUGGGUUUUAAGUGGGACCGUUGUGACCCCUCCAUUCUCCUGGGGACUUUGUUCAAGUGAAAUUAACAUCAUAGAGGGUGUUUUUCAAGUGUAAAUAGUUGUUGAAGGCACUUAUUAUUUGAGUUAAGAAGGAUGGCAAAGCCGUCGUCAUCAUCUUCAUCAACGUGGACUACUAUGACUAAUGUAAAGUUUGAAGUGAUGAAAUUCGAUGGUACCAAUAAUUUUGGUAUGUGGCAAUGUGAGGUGUUGGAUGUCUUAUGUUAGUAAGAGUUGGAAAUUGCUCUUGAAGAAAAAUCUAACAAGAUGGAUGGUAAGGAGUGGAUAAAAAUUAAUUGACAGGCAUAUGAUAUUAUUCGCUUAUGUCUGGCUAAAGAUCAGAAGUACUCUGUCAUGAGGGAGAUAUUAGCAAAGAAAUUAUGGGAGGCGUUGGAAGAAAAAUACAUGAAGAAAUGCUUUGAAAAUAAGCUUUAUAUGAAGAAAAAACUCUAUCGAUUUACGUAUGCACCUGACGUGUCGAUGAAUGACCAUGUGAACUCAUUCAACAAGAUAUUAGUGGAUUCACUAAAUUUCGAUGAGAAAUUUGAGGAUGAAGAUAAUGCAUUAUUGCUGUUGAAUUCCUUUCCCGAUGAAUAUGAUCAUCUCACUACCACUUUGCUUCAUGGGAAGAACAGUGCCACAUUCGAUGUUCUAAGUGGUGCGUUGUACAAUUCUGAGACAAAAAAGAAAGAUUGAAAGGAUCAUAGAGUUAUAGUUACAGAAGCAUUGACAGCACGAGGUCCUUUAUAAAGCCACAAACUUGAAAAAAUAAGCAAGUUUAAAGGGAGGCAUGCCAAAGAUGAGUGUGUUUUUUGUUGUGAGAAAGAAUAUUAGAAAAAGAAUUGUCCUAAGUUACAAAAGGGCAAGACAACUUCUGAUGCAUGUGUGGCAAAUCAUGAUGAGGAGUCAGACUUUAGUCUGGUUGGCAUGACGUUGACAUGUCACUCAAAAGAGUGGAUUUUGGAUUCAGGUUGUACUUAUCAUACGUAUCCUAACAAGGGCUGAUUUUCUAGCUUCAAAGAGCUGGACAGUGGAGUUGCUUUUAUGGGCAAUGACAAUGCCUGUAAAACCAUGAGAAUAGGUUUAAUCGAGUUGAAGAAUCAUGGUGACUCAAUCCAAGUCUUGACAGGCGUUCGCUACAUACCAAGUUCGAAGAAAAAUCUCAUCUCGUUAGGAGUCCUAAAAUCUCAAUGGCUUAUAAUUACUCUGAGAGAUGGAUUUUUAAAAGUAAUAACUGAAAGGCACAAGAAGAAAUAACUUAUACUAUUUCCAAAUAAUACAAUUAUUAGAUCAAUAUCAACAAUUACUAAAAAUGAUGUAGAUUCAGAAGCAACCAAGUUGUAGUAUAUGCGUUUGGGACAUGCUGGUGAAAAAGCUUUACAGAUUUUAGUGAAUCAAACCUUAUUAAAAAGUGUAAAUUCUUGCAAAUUAGAAGUUUUUGAACAUUGUGUUAUGGACAAGCAGACAUAUGUGAAGUUUGGUUCUACAAUUCACGAUUCAAAAGGGAUUCUGGACUAUGUUCAUAGUGAUGUACGGGGACUUACCAAAACAGUUUCUUUAGGAGGUAUGCAUUAUUUUGAGAGGUAUGCACUAUUUUCGCAAGCCACAAAAGGGAUCCUUUAUAUAUUUGCUAUUGUAUGUCGGUGGUGUACUAAUAGCAUCCAAGAGCAAAGAUUGGGAUUGAAAAGUUGAAGACUCAAACUCAAUCAAGAAUUUGAGAUAAAAGAUCUUGGCAUGGAGAUAUGCAGAGAUUGUAGCAAAAUUAGCUUGUCUCAGAAGUAAUAUUUGAAGAAGGUACUACAAUAGUUUGGAAUGAUUGAGCAAAUAAAACCUGUGAAUACUCUGUUGGCUUCUUAUUUCAAGCUUUCUACACAAUUAUCUCCUUCGACAGAUGUGGAACAAGAAUACAUGUUACAAGUUCCUUAUUCAAAUGCAAUGAGCAGCUUGAUGUAUGCAAUGGUGUGUACAAGCCCUAACAUUUCAGAUGCAGUUGGUAGAGUGAGCUGGUUUAUGCAUAAUCCUGGUAAAAGAUAUUGGCAAGUUGUGAAAUGGAUUUUGCGGUACAUUCAGAAGACAAUGGAUGUUGCCUUACUAUUUAAACGAAAUGAUAAACUUGGUCAACGUGUGAUUGGAUACGUUGAUUUUCAUUAUAUUGGUAAUUUGGACAAAUGACGGUCAAUCACUGGAUAUGUAUUUACUUUUGUUGGAGGGCCAAUCAAUUGGAAGUCUUCACUACAAUCUAUAAUUGUACUAUCGACCACAUAGAGACCAAGUACAUGGCAAUUACAGAGGCUGUUAAAGAGGCUAUUUGGUUACAAGGCUUGCUUGAGAACUUAAGAUUGGUAUAAGAGUACAUUAAUGUAUAAUUUGAGAGUCAAAGUGAUAUUCACUUAACAAAACACCAAGUUAAUCAUGCACAUAUGAAGCAUAUUGAUGUACAAUUUCACUUUAUGCGGGAAAUUAUUGAUAAGGGAAAGAUGCUUCUUCAGAAAAUCAUGACUGUAGAGAAUCCCACAUAUAUCUUGAUCAAGGUAGUGACAGUGAGCAAGUUUUAGCAUUGUCUAAACUUGAUCAAUAUCUUACGAGUUUAAAAGUAGUUGGAGAAAGUAGAGACUGAAGGCAAAUUUAAAAAUUUUCACUGAGGUGGAGAAUUGUUGAAAAGUCAAGCUUCAAGAAUACAAUUGUUGAGUAGUUGCAUGAGACAGCUAGCAUGCAAAUUUCAAGCAUAUACUUAUUGAGCUAGCAUGUAGACUUUGACUACAAUUCCAUGACAAAGUUGGCACCGAUUGCCAAAUUUUUUUAAUUUGGCAAAUUGAAGCCAAAUUGAAACUUGUGUUAGGUGGGCAAUGUUCCAUAUAAAUAAAAUGAUCAUUCUUCAUUUGUUACACAUCCUGAUUGAGAGUGUUGAGAGCAAUUACAAGUGAAGCAAUUUGAGAGAUUUGAGAGAGCUUCCACUUAGUGUUCUAGUAAGGUUUCUACUUGGGUGUAUUGGGGUUGUGGGUUUUGAGAGCUUUUUUCACUAUUGUAAAUUCCUAUUUGUUAGUAAACUUAUCUUGCAGUCUUUGCCCGUGGACGUAGGCAUUACGCCAAACCACGUAAAUUACUAUGUCAUAUUUUCUUUGCAUUUGUUUAUUACCAUACUUAUAUUUCUCUAGAAGUCCCAGUCACCAGAAUAUUGGUAAUUACUCAACCUGUCUUCCGCAACACCUCUCUUUGCAUGCUGUAGGAUGCUUGAUGAGUUUUGAAAGUGCCUACUCAAUUACCAUUGAUAAAGUGUCUAUUGCUACUGAAAGCAUGUCUUGAAAUUAUGGAAACCAUAAAUAACAUAAGCAAAUGUUUAGAAAUCAUUAGUUCUCUUGAAAUUUGCUUAUAUUUCUCUAGAAGUCCCAGUCACCAGAAUAUUGGUAAUUACUCAACCCGUCUUCCGCAACACCUCUCUUUGCAGGCUGUAGGAUGCUUGAUGAGUUUUGAAAGUGCCUACUCAAUUACCAUUGAUAAAGUGUCUAUUGCUACUGAAAGCAUGUCUUGAAAUUAUGGAAAGCAUAAAUAACAUAAGCAAAUGUUUAGAAAUCGUUAGUUCUCUUGAAAUUUUAAAUUAUAAUGUAGAUUAUGGCUUAAAGAGUUACUUAAAUGUGUUAAAACCUUUAUAUCUAAUAGAGGCAAAUUUAAUUUACUUAAAAAAUGUAAUUUGAUGUGUAUUUACCAAGAUUGGGGCUUUAGUUUGCUCUCAUUCGAUCAUGCACUGGGUUUCUUCUUAUUCCUCAAAGCUCAACAUAACAUCAACAAAAUCCUUAGUUCUAUUUUCAUCCUUGGAUUGAACAUAUUAAUCAAUAAUCUUCUCUAAAAAUGCAUCAAACACCUUGGCAACAUCCUUUUUAUGCUUUGUCAUGCCUUGAAGAUGAAGUCCUGCAAUUUGAGGAGUGUAAUCACCUAAGUUAGGCUUUACAACCAAUUUCAUGCUCUCUUGAAUCAGAGUCUUAAACCCACUCUCAAUGAAUUCAUCAAUAAAAUAUCUCUUUGUGAGGACCGUUUUACUAGUCAUGUUAGCAUUCAUUGCAGAAUCCUUGCCACUUAUGUCAACGAAACAUCAGGUACACGUCGCCUCUUUGGUGUACUCAAUUAAAAGAUCAAGCUCUUCUUUUCUUAUAAGAUGGAAAUAAUUGAUCUUGACACUACUUAAUAUUAAGAAAUUAAUAAAUGAAGCAGGCACACAACUAAAAUGAAAUUGAGAAAUUAUAAUCAAUUGACACCAGAAUUUACGUGAUUUGCCUUUUAGCCUCUGUCUAUGGGCAAAGAUAAAAGAGUAAAACCUUACUAGUUAAACAAAAAUUACAAAAAUUAGAGUAUUUUAUCUUACCACCAAAACCCCAAUACACCUAAUCUCUCAUUUAGUAAACCAUGAGCUUAAAGCUCUCAACAUUCUCUUAAUUUCCAACUAUUGGCUCUAUCACUUCUCAAAUAGAUCGAGAAUUCAAGAAAAUGGGAUUGAAUACUCUUCCUUUGCACUCCAAUUCUUAGACCAAACAAUGCCCACAAAUCAACAAUGAUGGGCUUUAAAAAUGAAUAUAAAUUUUUCUUCAACAUCCUACUUUGGUGCCAAAGUAUUACAUGCUAGCCACACGUCUUCAACUUACUAAAUACUUAACAAUUCUAGAGUGCAUAUUUUUUAGAUUGUUCUCCAAUAAGAUCCAUAUAGGGUAAUUGCAAAAUUCAUUGGGUCAUAAGAAACAUGCUUAGAAGCUUGAAUCGGAUGCCUGCUGGCAACAAUAAGGUCAUGUAUUUUGAGAAACUACUUAGCUGCUUGUGGUGAAAAAAUAACAAUUAUAGUCAUCAUGACCAAGCGUAAGUGCAUGAUGGGGCCAUAUGUUUUGGCUAGUUUAUGCAAAGCUCUAGGAGGAAAUUGGCCUAACAAAUGAAGGCAUCCAAAAAUUGAAAAACUUUUGGCCUUGGAGAUAAUAUCCUUAUGUUCUUUGCAUUUGUUUCCAAGAAAAUGCUUGGAGGAAAAAGAAAAUUGUAGCUAGAACAAGCAAAGUCCAUAAGUACGACAUGAACAAGCAAAGUCCAUAACCACGACAUAAUGAUCUUGUGAAGUCACGAAUAUUGUAGACCGAAUUCGGUGCAUGAUAUUGUUGAAAAUUAGCCAAAUGUUGGCGAAUUUGUCAAAUUGACAGGGGUGAGGUUGGUGCAAUAGUGCUAUUUUUUUCCUUAUAAAUAGAAGGCACUUCUUUUAUUUUAAUUAUCCCACAUUUGAGAGAAACAAUUCAAGUGAAGAAUUUUUUAUGGUGAGCAAUUGGAGAGUGCGAGUGAUUGAGAGAUUUUUCUUUCAAGUGUGCACUACUACAAUAAACGAUACAUAUGACUUUUAAAAUAAGUAUUAAAUGACCUAAUAAAAAAAGUCAUCUUUAUAACAGUCAUCUAAAGUGGAUAAUAAUAGAUGACGUCUUUUAUGAGUUAUCUAUAUUGCUUUAUAGAUGACUCAUUAUAUAAAAUAGCAGUCAUCAAAUAAUAUAUUUGUACUCCAUAAUUCCUAAAGAGAUGACUCUUUUUUUUAGCAGCUGUCAACUUUAUUUGAACAAAUGACUAGCUUUUGUAUUGGGGGUCAUCUUUGAAUAAUAAAGGUAAUAUUUUUAAAUUAAUUAAUGUCAUUUUAAAUUAUAAAAUAUUUUGAAAUAUCUGAAUCUACUGCCUAAUUUUCGUAUUAAGCUAAUAUGGAUUAGCAAAAACUGCAUUAUCAAGCCUCUGGAGAAGUACAUAAAUUUAUUGUACAACAAAUAGUAUUUAAAAUUCAAAUUACUAAUAAUUCCUGUAUCACAAUAAAAAGUCUAUUAUUUUGACACAUCCCAAAUUGGGUAUCCAUUACAUUGUACAUUAAAAAAAAAUUUCUUUACAAAGAAAAUUACAUUCUUCACAAGCAUCAAAACUCCAUCUCCGAGGCAACUAUCAACAUUCUUAAUCCAGCAACAAUACUGCAAUACUAAAUUAAAAUAGUUAAAAAUAAUGCAACAAUUAUGUGUGCACAUAACCAAUAUGAAAGAUACAAAUAAAUAAAAAUUACUUAUAAUUUAUAUACAUAUCUUGCCAAACUCAUUCAACUAUCUGUUGAAUUUAGGCAAAACUAUUCCUGCUGUACCGUACAUCCGCCUUGGCCGUACAGCAGCUUGUGAAGCUUCGCUAAAAUCUCGUUUCUGUCNNNNNNNNNNNNNNNNNNNNNNNNNNNNNNNNNNNNNNNNNNNNNNNNNNNNNNNNNNNNNNNNNNNNNNNNNNNNNNNNNNNNNNNNNNNNNNNNNNNNNNNNNNNNNNNNNNNNNNNNNNNNNNNNNNNNNNNNNNNNNNNNNNNNNNNNNNNNNNNNNNNNNNNNNNNNNNNNNNNNNNNNNNNNNNNNNNNNNNNNNNNNNNNNNNNNNNNNNNNNNNNNNNNNNNNNNNNNNNNNNNNNNNNNNNNNNNNNNNNNNNNNNNNNNNNNNNNNNNNNNNNNNNNNNNNNNNNNNNNNNNNNNNNNNNNNNNNNNNNNNNNNNNNNNNNNNNNNNNNNNNNNNNNNNNNNNNNNNNNNNNNNNNNNNNNNNNNNNNNNNNNNNNNNNNNNNNNNNNNNNNNNNNNNNNNNNNNNNNNNNNNNNNNNNNNNNNNNNNNNNNNNNNNNNNNNNNNNNNNNNNNNNNNNNNNNNNNNNNNNNNNNNNNNNNNNNNNNNNNNNNNNNNNNNNNNNNNNNNNNNNNNNNNNNNNNNNNNNNNNNNNNNNNNNNNNNNNNNNNNNNNNNNNNNNNNNNNNNNNNNNNNNNNNNNNNNNNNNNNNNNNNNNNNNNNNNNNNNNNNNNNNNNNNNNNNNNNNNNNNNNNNNNNNNNNNNNNNNNNNNNNNNNNNNNNNNNNNNNNNNNNNNNNNNNNNNNNNNNNNNNNNNNNNNNNNNNNNNNNNNNNNNNNNNNNNNNNNNNNNNNNNNNNNNNNNNNNNNNNNNNNNNNNNNNNNNNNNNNNNNNNNNNNNNNNNNNNNNNNNNNNNNNNNNNNNNNNNNNNNNNNNNNNNNNNNNNNNNNNNNNNNNNNNNNNNNNNNNNNNNNNNNNNNNNNNNNNNNNNNNNNNNNNNNNNNNNNNNNNNNNNNNNNNNNNNNNNNNNNNNNNNNNNNNNNNNNNNNNNNNNNNNNNNNNNNNNNNNNNNNNNNNNNNNNNNNNNNNNNNNNNNNNNNNNNNNNNNNNNNNNNNNNNNNNNNNNNNNNNNNNNNNNNNNNNNNNNNNNNNNNNNNNNNNNNNNNNNNNNNNNNNNNNNNNNNNNNNNNNNNNNNNNNNNNNNNNNNNNNNNNNNNNNNNNNNUAAUAAACUUGAUAUUGUUAUAAUGCGAUUUCUUGCUCUUACCUUUUAGAGACUAGACUUACCAAAUCCGAUAAUCAUUAGUAACCUGAAUUUAAUUUUUUCUAGUAUUGCGAAGUUAGUAAUUCAACUAGCCUUCAUAAUUUUUGUUUCUCUUAUCAACUUAAGUGAUAACAAUGGCAUUAUAAAACUAUUCUUAGCAAGGAUUUCAUCAUCUCGAGAGUCACAAAUCAUGUACUAAAUCAAAGUAGAUUUCAUUUUUAUGAAACUAUGACUACUUACACUAAAGAAUCAACAUAUUGAUUGUUAUAAUUUAUAAACAAUUAAUCAAUUUUUACUACAGUAAAAUAAAUAUCUAAAUAUCCAAUUUUCUCCUUUCCCUUUAAAUAUAUAUCCAAAUUUCAAUCAAUCUAAAUAAUAAUAAUUAUAGCAACAACAAUAACUAUACUAAUAAAUGAAAAACCCCAUCCUUGAAAUACCCGACAUUUACUCAAAUUUUCAAAAUCUACUAUUUCUAUUUCACUGUAUUGAUUCCAGAUCUAACAUUCAAACAUGAAUUAUGAAAAAAGGAAAAACAAAGAUCUCAUUCACGUGACUAUCCCCAAAUAAACGAAUCAUCAUUAUUUUUCAAUGAAUUAAACAAAUUAAAGAAAUAGAAAACACCUCAUUGUAAAGAUCCAAGCUUUUUAAAAACAAAAGUGUCAAAUGCUUUAUUUCUUUUCUGGAAGAUGUGAACCCAAACUUCCCAAUCUUCAAUUUUUGACUUGUUCUUCACGGUUCGUGAUUGAGAUUUACUUCACCAUUUUCUCUCUCUUCACUCCCACUUUGCGUUUCUUCACUCUUCAAGAGCGGCGGCUGUAAAUUUAGAAUAGUAACGGUAGAAGAGAUGAAAUUAGGGUUGAUUAUUUGGGGACAGUUGUAAAAGGUGGUAUUUUUAGUGAUAAGUUUUGAGAAGGAAUUUUGAGAAGAGAAAGACGAAAGAGAGAGAGAGAGAGAGAGAGAGAAAGAGGUACAACUCGAAGAAAUUAGGGAUUUGAGGGAACUUAGGGUGAUUUUUUUAUUUAUGCAUCUAUAUAAAAAUGACGUUUUUUAAAUUACGAGUCAUAUGUUUACCUUAUAAAAUAUGACGUGUUUUUGUAUAAUGAGUCAUCUUUUAACUUCCUAUCAAAUUAAAAUUAUCAUAGAUGACUCUCUAACUAUAGAAAAAGUCAUCUAAAAGAAAAGAUAACAAUUGUUUAGAUGUGAGUCGUCUAUUGAAUGUCAUCUAUCUCACUUAUUGUAGUAGUGGUGUGAGAGUGUACUUUGUGUAUUUGGGUUCUGGCAAGUCAAGUUUCUUUACUUAAAUAUUUUGCUCUAAUAAUUGUUAAUAAUACAAUUAUUUCCUCUUGCUCCUGUGGACGUAGACAUAAUUACCGAACCAUGUUAAAUUCAUGUGUCCUUUAUUUUUGUGAUUAUUUAGUGCGUUUGAUUCCACAUUAUGCACAGAGCAAUUCGUAUCAAAGCACAACAGAUCUAUCAGUGCUAGGAAAGUUAAGACUCCAGCUUCCAGUGAUGAAGAUGCAGAAAUGAUGCAAUUAGGACAUUUCUUUUUAUGUUUGGAUAAUUUCUUGGUAGUCAAGAGGAGUUAGUGAAGGUGGUAAGCUUUCGUGAUCUCUUUCUUUUGCUUCCACUCUUAUCAUUUGUUGCUGUCUUUGCUGAAUUUUAAAGAGAAAGUGGAGCCACAUUUUGUUAAUUUUAAAGAAAGAGAGUUACUACCAGAGGCGUAAACUACUCUAGAGCCCAAAAUUUUGGAAAAUUUUAAAAUAUUAGAUAAAAUAUUACAAAGUGAGAUUACACAUUAAUGACUGGCAAGUCCUUCAAUUUGAAAAUUUUACCUUAUAUUUUAUAGUCGUCUUUAUUAUUUUACUUCUUACUAAUACAAAAAGUAAAUGAUCUAACAUUUUUCUCUACAAUCAAAGAUCCUUAUUGCAACUCAAGUCUCAAGAUUUGUCGUCUUCAUCUCUAUUUUUUAUUUCAAGUUUACUUCACAUAAACUGACGAGCCAUUCAAUUUUCUCUUUGAUUCUCUCCUACAAAGCCUUGUACCUUCAGAUUCAACGUUUGGUUUCCUUGUCUUCUCCUUUAUUCUUAUAAUUGAAUUUAUAUUAUUUUUACUUAUUUAUAAUUUUUUUUUCUAUGUAAUUGAAUUACACGACAUAAGAUACACUUAUUUUGUAUUUUCAUAUAUUUAAGAUUUGAAUAGCAUUUAUUUUAUUUUUAUUGCAAUAGUUUUUUUUUUAUAUAUUCAUAAAUUUUAACAUGGACUUCAAAUUUUAUACUAACUGAAAAUCAAAAGUUGCAAUAUACAUUUGAACAAACAUCAAAUCAAAAUCUUUGUUCUGCUCUAGGUGCCGCAUUCUUUGAGUUAUGAAGCUGAAGAAAUUGAAGCCAAUAUUUUCGCUAUAAAAGGAAGGCUCUCUUGAGAGCUUUGCAUCCCAAUUUUUUUUUUAUAUAUAUUCGAUAAAGAGAGAAGAAAGCAGAGAGUUGUGAGCUUCUAAAAAAAAAAAAAAAGGUAAAUGCUCAUUUAGUCUUUAUAUUUUAACUUAAAUAUUUUAACUUAAGUGUUGGUCUAGUCCCUAUAUUUUAAAAAAUAUCACAGAGACCCCUACUAUUAAAUAUAUUACACUCAUGCCCUUACUUUUUCUUUUCUUUUAUAAUAAUACUCUUGCAACAAUAUUCUUGGGGAUAUUAAUUAAUUUAUCAAUAAAAAUUAAAGUAAAAUAAUGUAAUUUUUUACUAUUUUACUUUUAAAAUUAAUUUGGUAAAUUAUUUUUUAUAAAUAAUUAUUAGCAAGAUUAUAAUUGUAAGAGUAUUAAACAUUACUUUAAGUUAGCUACAAUUAAUUUAUUUUAAAUAAUUAGAAGAUUGCUGUAAGGGUUUGAAAAAUACAGUUCAUGCAGAUUAACAAUUAUUGGUUAAUUUAGGAAUAAAUAAUUAUGGAUUAUUAUGUUAAUUAAAAUUUUCCAUUGAUUAAUUAUUAUGUCCUCAAAAUUGUAGUAAGGGUAUUAUUGUAAAAGAAAAGAAAAAAUAAGGUUCAGGGUGUCAUAUAUUUACUAGUAAGUGUGUCUUGAGAUAUUUUCCAAAAUAUAGAAACUAAAAGUAUUUAAACUAAAAUAUAGAGACUAUUCGAGCUUUUACCUGAUAAAAGAAUCAAUUUCUGCUUUGUAAGGUUUAUUCUUCUAGUUUUAAAUAAUAAAGUUGUUUCUCCUAAAAUGAGAAAUAGUGCAGUUGUUCUCUCCUUGUAUUUGGAAGAAGUAUUGUAAUCGUUAAUUAAAUAAUAAAUCUUUCUAUCUUUACCCGUAGGCAUAGAUAAGUUUUUGUAUCCCUAUGUAUGGCAUUGCUUCUCCAGAUUUUCCUAAUUAAAUUUCUCUUCAACUACAUCACCCAUCAGUUUCAAUUUCCUAAUAUAAUUGAAGAUACAAGGAAAAAAAAAAGAAACAAAAAUGACGAUAAGAUGGCGAUAAGUUCAACAUGUGGAUAAUGCUGUCUUUUGAAGCAUUGGAUAUAUGGCACUGUUUCAAUAUUUCUUAAGGUAAAGCGGCUGCAUUGUUACAAUUAUUGAAUUUUCUCAAGUUUUGUUUUAUUUCAUUUUAUUUUGUCUUAUUACCUAACUCAUUGAAUUAAUCACAAUUCUAAACAUUUUUUUUUGCUAAUAUCACAAUAACAAGUCUGUUGAAACCUGUAUUGAACUUCCAAGCCAUAUUUUCAACUUAUUUACUUUUGUAUCUUUCAAGUCAAAUUAAUUGACAAUGAAAUUACUCUUCUCUUCUCGUUGGUCCCAUUUCAUGUAAAUUAAUUUAAUACUUGAAUUUGGUCGCUAGGAAAAUCCAAAAAGCUAUUUAAUAACAUUAGAUGAUAAUUAUGUGAACGGAUCUAAGUGGUGCCGGAGAAACGGAAAUAAUCAUGUGAAAACAGAUUGAUUUUUAGCUCACCUGUAAAUGUGAAAUAAGUGUGAGUUUGAUCAUGUCUUUUAAAAUAAUUGAUUUUAUUAGUGCUAUAGAAUAAUUAGAUGUGAAAAGUAUUGGUUGUUUUUGUUGUGCACGGAAUGCGGAAUCAAGCGCACCAACUAAUUACAAAAAAAUAAAGGACACAAUUAUUUAGCGUGGUUCGGUAAUUAAACCUAUAUCCACGGAGGUAAGAAAGAAUAAUUGUUUAUUUAACAAUAAAUAGAGUACAAAUAUUUGAGUAACGAAUCUCACUUCCCAAAAAUCCAAAUAUACCUAGUUCUCUCACACUCUGCAAGAAAGAUAAAUUCCCUAAACAUACUUUUCUUACUUCUCUCAAAAGUUUAGAAACUUAUAAGCUUAACAAAUUUUUAGGAUACUAAACAAAUGAAGAAUGCUUAGUUAUUUAUAGGAAAAAUGUUGGCACUAAUCAUGAAACAAAUAUCAAGAAAACAGCGUUCAAAAUGCAUUCAAACCGCAUGCAAAAAGUGUCCAAACCGUGUGUGUGGCAAAGCCACCAUGCGGCUUUGACUUUUCAACAAAUCUCCAUCUCGGCAAAAAUUUAUCCAAAUAUAAGCCGAUUGACAAUAAUCCUCCAAACUUCAUCUCUCACAUGAUCCUCAAAAGGAUCUACAUUGGCUGCAUCUAUCCGACUGCUUACGUACCCAAUAGUUGGGAUCAAGCCUGCCGUAGUUCUUGUUUCCCAAAGGAAACACCUCAACAUAAUCCAUGGAUUUAAAUCAAUUUCAAGCUAUGUUGAAACUUAAUUCUCGAAAUCACCUUUGUCAACAUAUCUAAUGGGUUAUCUCUGGCAUCGAUCUUCUUUAAUAACACAUUACCGCUCUUGAUAAUCUCCCUAACAUAAUGAUAUCUCACAUCUAUGUACUUCGUUCGAGCAUGAUACGUCUAAUUCUUUGUAAGGAAUAUCGCACUUUGGUUAUCACAAAGACCUCAAUGUUUUUUUGGAUCUUUCCAAAAUCACCCAACAAGCUUCUCAACCAUAUAGCCUCCUUGACAGCCUCAGUUGCUGCCAUAUAUUGUACUUCCGUAGAGGACAGAGCAAUUGUCGAUUGCAAAACUGACCUCCAGUUAAUCAGACCUCCACAAAAUGUGAACACGUAGUUUGUUAUUGAUCUUCGCUUGUCUAGGUCUCCAGUGAAAUCAGAAUCACAAUACUCAAUACAUUGUUGACCACCAUCAUUCUUAAACCAUAACCCAAUAUUAAUUGUGCCAUACAAAUACCAAAGAAUCCACUUUACUGCAAGCCAAUAGUUUUUACCCGAAUUGUGCAUGUGUCUACUAACCAUGUUCACUGCUUGAGAUAUAUCAGGCCUUAUACAAACCAUAACAUACAUAAGACUACCCACAGCACUAGCAUAUGGAACACGAGCCAUGUAAUCGUGCUCCUCUUGGGAAGAAGGACAUGAAGAAGAGCUCAAUUUAAAGUGAGGAGUUAGAGGUGUACACACCGAGUUAGUUUUGUCACCCAUAUCGAAUCUUUCUAGCACUUUCUUCAAAUAAGGCUUUUGAGUCAAUCACAUGCUCAUAUUCUUCUUGUCUCUACAAAUCUCCAUCCCAAUUAUUCUUUGUGCAUCACCCAAGUCCUUCAUCUCGAACUCAUAAGCCAAUUGCUUCUUCAGUCUUUAAAUCUCAUCUCUAUUCUUCGAAGUUAUAAGCAUAUCGUAGACAUAGAAUAACAAAUAGAUGAAAGCUCUAUCUAGUAGUCUUUUAAAGUAAACACAGUGAUCGUGUUCACUUCUGGUGAAUUUCUGCCCUUGUAUGAAUUGAUCAAAUCUCUUGUACUACUGCCUUAGUGAAUGUUUCAGUCCGUACAAAGAUUUAAUCAAUCUACAUACAUGAUUCUCCUUUUCAGCAACUUUGAAACCACAAGGCUGAGUCGUAUAGAUUUCCUCCUUUAAAUCUUCAUGUAAGAACGCCGUCUUAACAUCUAAUUAAGCCAACUCUAACUCAUAUUCUACAGUUAAGGCAAGUAGGAUAUAAAUGGAAAUAUGUUUCACAAUUAGAGAGAAAACUUCAUUGUAAUCAAUAUCUUUAUUUUGAGCAAAACCUUUUUCAACGAGCCUUGCCUUGUAUCGAAGAGUUGAUUAAUUUGGAGAUCCUUACUUUUUAGUGCAGACCUAUUUGUUGCCAAUAACCAUUUUCCCCUUUGGUAACUUUGCAAGUUCCUAAGUCUGAUUUUGAUGGAGAGAUUUCAUCUCUUCCUCCAUGGUUAACUUCCACUAAUUACUUUCACUGCUACGUAAUGCUUCACCAAAAGUAUUGGAGAUGUCAUCUUCAAUGACUAGAAGUGUAUAGGCUAUCAUCAUGUCUUUAGUAAGCCAUUCGAGUUUCUUUAUCUCUCUUCUUAGCCUCCUUGUUGCUAUAGAAUCAUCAUUAUCUACAUCACCAAUUAUUUCUUUAUUUUGUGGGACAUUAGAAUAAACAAUCUAUUCUUAAACUCUGUGUGUCACAUCUAUAGUUGAACCCUUCUCUAAUGUAGUACUAACUGGUACAUAUGGAGUUGCAUCAAACUCUACCGCUGCAAUACCUUUGUGGUCUUCUUAUCCACCUGUUGAGAACUUGAAGCUUUCAUCAUUGAAGUUUCAUCAAACGUGACAUCUCUGCUAUACACAAACUUUUUAUUUUCGAGAUCCUAAAUAGCUUGAAGCCUUUUACUGCACAUUUAAAUCCCACAAAGAUAGCUUUUCUAGCACGAGGAUCUAGUUUACCAUCUUUGACAUAAUAAAAACUUGGACACCUAAAUAUACGAAGGAAAUCAUAGUCUUGUGCAUAUUUACCAGACCACAUUUGCAUAGGAGUUUUACAUCCAAUUGCAGCAAAAGGCAACCGAUUUAUUAAAUGACUUGUGUAACUCACAACCUCAGCCUAAAACUUUUUAUCUAAACCAGUAUUAGAUAACAUACACCGUACUUUCUCCAGCAAAGUACGAUUCAUACGCUCAGCCACACUGUUCUGUUGCGGAGUAUGUCUCACCGUUAAAUGUCUUUUUAUACCCUCACUCUAGCAUACUUGUAAGAAAUGGAUCAGAAGUAUAUUCACCCCCAUUGUCAGAAUGCAAUACUUUGAUCUUUCUGCUAGUUUGAAUCUCCACCAGUUUCUUCUAUUUCAUGAAAAUCUCUAGAACCUCAUCCUUUGCUCGCAUGGUAUACACCCACACAUGUCUAGAGAAAUUAUCAACAAAUGUAACAAAAUAAUGGCUUCCACCAAUUGAUGCAGUUUUGGUUGGUCCUUAUACAUCACUAAAAACAUAUUCAAGGAUCUCACAAGUAUCGUGAUUAGCCGUACCAAAUUUUGACAAUUGUUUUCUUGCCUAUUACACAAUGCUCAUAAAACUUUAAUUUACAGGUUUUGGUACAUUUUAAGAGUCCAUACCUCAUCAGAGUUUGCAAAAAUUUCUUUGCAGUAUGUCCUAAUUGUACAUGUCAUAGCUUAGUGGUGUCACUGUGCUCUUUAACAACAUUUGCUUCACCAGUUGUACCUCCUUCAAAUAGUACAAAUUGUUACGUCGAACUCCUUGCAGAAUAACCAUAGCCCCAUGGGUAAACUUUAUUGUGCCAUUUUCGAUAGUAAUCUUGUAACCUUUACCUUUCAAAACACCCACAGAAAUUAGAUUUUUCUUUAAAUCUGGAAUAAAUCUAACCUCUUUAAGUUCUUUGACCAUUCCAUCGAAUAACUUGAGUCGAACUGUACUUAUCCCUAUCGUGCGACAAAGUUAAUAAUUCCCUAUCACAACUACACCAUAUUCCAAUUCGCUGAAAUCUGUAAACCAUUCCCUAUCGGGACACAAAUGGUAGGUUGCUCCGGUAUCAAGUAUCUAUUCGCUUGAACUUGCAACAUAUGCCGAAAUGUAAUAGAUAGUGAGUAGUCUAAGUCUCCAUCCUCACGUCCCAUGUUUGCUGCUACUGGUUUCUUCCCAUCUCUCUUUUGAGCCUUUGGACAAUCUUUCCUCCAAUGACUCUUUUCAUGACCAAAGGCACACUAAUCCCAAGCUAAUUUCUACUUCUCGAUUUGGAUCCAGAAUUCUUUCCACCACGCUUCUUCUUUUUCUCUAUCGUCAUUUCUUUAGCAAACAAAGCUUCAGACGAUGCACUUUCAGAAUGUUUAUCAUUAUUCUGAAUUUCUAAAUUGGUCAAUGCUGUGCAAACAUCUUUGAAGAUGAUCACGCUUUUUUUAUAUAUUAAGGUACUCACAAAAUGACUAUAUUCAUUUGGUAGUGAGUGUAACAGAGUCAUAGCCUUGACUUCAUCUUUAAUAUCUUCAUCAAGAUUUUUCAAAUCAGCAAGUAACUUUUCAAAUCUUGAGACAUGAUCGUGCAUUGACACCCCUGGCUUCAUUCGAAAGCCAUAUAGGUACUUCUUCUCCAAUGUACCUUACAAAGUCAUCGCAGACUCCUCAUUUUUCACCAAGUAUUUCACCUCCUUGGUCAAACCAGAUCUGAUCUGACGACAAACUUUCUUGUUCAUACGAUCCCAAGUUUCUUCAUCAUACAAGUGUCUUUUAUUUUUUAGAACAAUAUCGUGAUCGAUUUGAAUAAGGACAUCCAUAACUUCGCUCCUCCACAUGCCGAAGUUGAUUUUCCCAUCAAAUUUUUCAACAUUGAUCUUUUGGCCUCUUAUAACAGAUGUUGAAUGAUGAUUUGACAAAUCUCACCUCCCACCUAAAGUGUCUCCUGAAAUAGUUUCAGUAGAUCUCUCCCUAGUUCUGGAAGUUUCACAUUCUACCAUUUUCUCAACGAACUAUUUCACUUGAAAAACAACCUCUAUGAUGUUAAUUUUGCAUGAAUAAAUGCAUUUGGAAAUUUCGUAGGAGAAUGGAGGGGUCACAAUGAUCCCACUUAAAACCCAGACUCCUUUGGCUCUUAUCGCUUUGUUGACAGAACUUUCCUAAACAUGCAAAACUACACACUACUUUACAAUAGACUGUCUCCCAAGUACAAAUGGUCGUCUCCAUCGUAUUCGUGACUAGUACCAUACAUGAACAGUAAUGUAUAUGGCAAUAGUUUCAUCUACGUGAACAAUAUUGUUUACGUGAACAAUACCAUAUCCCCCAAGUACGAACCGUCAGCUCUGAUACCACUUAUUGUGCACAGAAUGCGGAAUUAAGCGCACCAACUAAUUACAGAAAAAUAAAGGACACAAUUAUUUAAUGUGGUUCGGUAAUUAAACCUACAUACACGGAGGCAAAAAAGAAUAAUUGUUUAUUUAACAAUUAAUAGAGUAAAAAUAUUUGACUAACAAAUCUCACUUCCCAAAAAUCCAAAUAUACCUAGUUCUCUCACACUCUGCAGGAAAAAUAAAUUCCCCAGACAUACUUCUCUCAAAAGCUUAGAGAUUUAUAAGCUUAACAAAUUUUUGGGAUACUAAACAAAUAAAGAAUGCUUAGUUAUUUAUAGAAAAAAAUGUUGGCACUAUUCAUGAAACAAAUAUCAAGAAAACUGCGUCCCAAAUGUGUCCCAACCACGUUCAAAACACAUUCAAACCGCGUGCAAAAAGUGUCCAAACCGUGUGCGUGGCAAAGCCACCAUACGGCUUUGACUUUUUAACAGUUUUAAAAUAAAUUGUCUUUAAAAGUGCUGUGAAUUUUAAAAAUAACUAAAUAUAUUUCAUAAAUUUUACUAUUAAACUAUUGUAAGAUUGCAAACGAUUAAAAUGUAUAUAAUGUUAAACAAAUUUUAUUUACAGAUUUAUAUACAUAUUUAUAUGUUCCCAGGGGCUAGCCCAAUUAGAUUUCAAGAAAUUUAAUUUAGCCGACCAUCCUUUUCAAAUCCCGGGGAGACAGAUGGUUAACAAUAGAUUUAUGCCAUGCCAGCCCCUAUACAUUUAAAAAAAAAAUUUAAAAAAUGUAACCAUGUAUGUAUGUAAUACUUUUGAUUAUUUUUAUAUAACAUUUGAAAAAAAAAAAUAUGAUUUUUUUAUUUUGUUAAUUAUAGUUCUUUUAUUUUUUCAUCUUAAAAGAAUUGAUAAUAAAAGAUUGAGUAAUGAUAUAGCCACAAACUCUUGUAUAAAUUUAAUUUGUAUAAACUGUUGUGACAUUAAUUCAUUGGUUGAAUUAAAUAUCUCUUGACCCACAUGAUUUAUUUCUAUUAUUUUAUAUUUUCAUUCAACCAAUGAAUUAAUACCACAUUAGUUUGUACAAGAAUUUGUGGCUGUAUCAUCACUCUAAAAGAUUAACUGAUUUUCGUUAAUUCACUGAGUUUAUUUCUAUUUAAAUAAGGAUAUUUUUUUUUUAAAUGUAACAAAUGUGAAGAUUCUCUACUGGUUUUCAAAAUUAACCAUUAACUUAUCAAAAUCAUUUUUAAGCUUCCCAAUAAUAAAAAAUGGGCCCUAUCACUAAAAAUUAUUAAGUAAUAAUCAUAUCAAUUAUUUAAUAAGCUUAGGUUUAUUGAAUGAAUAAUAACAUUGAUGCUCUGAGUGAUCAGGUUGUUUUUUUUUUUUUAACUAGCAAUCCAAAUUUUAAAAUUGGGAGAGAAUAUUGGUGCCAAAAAAUUAAUUUGGUGUUUGCCCAUUCCCUUACCUUUCUAAACUUUAAAAAAAUAUAUAUAAAGCUCUCAGCUGUCCAAUUAUUUUUAAUAUUAUUUUAAUUUGCUGCUACUUAUAAUUAAAAUUUUAUGAAAACCUUCUAGAAUAAUUAUAAUGCUACAAAACUCAAAUAUCUGGGUAAUAAAUCUACUUUCAAAUAUUACAAAAGAAUCUUCUUUGAAGUAAUUGUUGAGUGAAAAAUGAUUUUACAUGUUAAUUUGUUUAACUUUUUUCUCCUAAAAGUACUUUGUAUUAAUCCAGAAAUCAAACAAACAAAAUUAUAAUUAAAUCUUAAGGCAAUAACUUGCAAUAGCCAAAAGAUGUUUGGCCCUAAGUGUUAUAAGGCCAAACUCUUCUGUCAUGUCCAAUUCAAUUGGCAACAUUCCCCUAGGAAGCUCCCAUUCAAAGCAAUGCACAAGCUGUGCAAUCACUUGCUUUACAAUGGUGAGUCCCAAUUGCAUUCCAGGGCACACUCUGCGGCCAGAACCAAAUGGCAAAAGCUGAAAGUCGCGUCCACGGAGAUCAAUACUUCUCCCAACAAAUCUUUCCGGAAAAAAAAAAAUAAAUAAAUUCAGGAUCAUUCCAAGCUUCAGGAUCUCUUCUAAUUGCUCAAACGUAUGUAAUUACUCUUGAUUUUUUGGGAAUGUGGAAUCCGUUAACUAUGCAGUCUUCGGUAGAUUCGUGUGGAAUUAGCAAUGGCGCUAUAGGAUAAAGCCUCAGGGUUUCCUUGACAACCAUGUCAAGGUAUUAGAGGUUUUCUAAAUCUGAUUCUUCAAUCAUUCUGCUUAGGCCCACAAUUUUUUUCUAGCUCCUUUUGUAGUUUCUUCAUUACUUUAGGAUGCUGGAGGAGUUCUGAAAGUGCCCACUCGACUGUUGUUGCUGAAGUGUCCAUUGCUACUGCAAGCAUGUCCUGAAAAUAAAGAAAACACAAAAACUAAUGUUUAGAGUUAUUAAUGAAUCGGGAUCAUCUUCUUAUAUGUGUUAACAAAAUCUUUUAACAAUAUGCUUUUUGUCACAUAUUUUUAAUUGAUCAUGUGUACUCAAGAUCUAUUCUGUUAUUUACUAUCAAUCACAUAUCUAUAUUUGUCGAUGUGAAGGCUCGAAACAUGAGAAGAUUUGGUCCUUUAAUGAUUCAUAAGCUCAUAUAAAAGAGGGAUCAUUGGUUUCACCUAAAAGUUAAGGUAUGAUAUAUGGUUUUGUAUGAAUUAGUUAAAUGUGCAUUCCAGCGUGAGAAAUUGAUUUCAAAUUAAAAGGGUUGGUAAAGCAACCAAGUUAUUGCAGAGACUAAAAUGAAUUAAAAAAAUGUAAAUAAUAAUUACUGUUUAAAAAAAAAAAUGAAACUAGCAAUCAAUAAAUCUUUAGUGCCCUUUUAUGUGUUGGCAAUAUUUCAAUUAUAAAAACCGACCAAGGAGUUCGAUUCUUCAAGAACCGAACAACGACCUGACUAAAAUCAUUGAAAAACGACCGAACCGGCAGGUUCAGACUAGUUCAUCGCUUUUCAACUCACCCCCAGGUAAUCAGCUAGAACCAUAUUAUUAAGCAUCCUAAUUAACAAAGACAAACUUAUAAUGCUAAUUUGAUAUUGCUCUAUCACCGCCAUUAGAUUUAAAAUAAUCAAUGGCUAAAAUUAUGGGUCAAAAUGUUUUAAGCGAAAUAAUUAAAAUCAGAAAAACCUUGUCCUAUAUAUAUAUAUAUAUAUAUAAAUGCUCUAAUCCGAAAGUAUAAAGUGGGGAGCGUUGGGAAAACACAUAAACCGUACGGUUUAAACGCUUUAAGUUGUAAGUUUUUAAAACCUUGCAGUUUUAAAAUUUUUCCGAAUUUUUCCCACACUUUAAGAUCCCAAACGUUUAGAAGCGGUUAGUAACAGACUUAAUUUUACCGCCAGCACAAUGAAUGAUGGCCGCAUCUUCACUUCCACCACGUCUCAACAAAAUUUAGAGAAGUUCAACGAUUAAUCAGUGGACCUCACAAAUAAGAGAAGCUGUGAACAAAAACGAAGCCCACAAAGCCCUUCUUCUCUUUCGCCAAUUGAAACAAAACGACAUCGAACCAAACAACUUAACAUUUCCCUUCAUAGCCAAGGCUUGUGCUAAGCUCUCUGAUCUUAUAUGCUUCCAAAUGAUUCACGGCCACAUCGUGAAAUCACCCUUUUGGUCCGAUAUCCUUGUGCAAACAACAAUGGUGGAUAUGUAUGUGAAACGUAAUCGGUUAGAUUGCACGUUUAAUAUAUUUGACGAAAUGCCUUAUAGAGACGUGGCGUCGUGGAAUGCGAUGCUUGUGGGGUUUGCUCAGAUGGGUUUCUUGAAAAAGUAUUGUGUCUUUUUCAUAAUAUGAGGCUUGUUGGAAUCCAAGCUGAUUUUGUCACGGUUAUGGGGUUGACACAGGCGGCCAUACAUGCAAAGCAUUUGAACCUUUGAAAAGCGUUCAUUCGUUUGGCAUUCGUAUCGAAGUUGAUGCUGAUGUGUCAGUUUGUAAUAGAUGGAUUUCUGCCUAUGUUAAAUGUGAUGAUUUGAAGACGGCGGAGUUGGUGUUUCGUGUGAUAGAAGAAGGUUUAAGGACUAUUGUUUCAUGGAAUUCUAUUAUUGCCUGAUGCACGUAUGGUGAUGAGUUUGAUGAUUCUCUUAAAUUUUAUAGGGACAUGAUGUAUGAUGGAUUUAGUCCUGAUGUAACUACAGUUGUUAGCAUACUUUCAUCAUGUGUGUGCCUAGAGGCGUUAGUGCAACGAAGGUUGGUUCACUCUCAUGGAAUUCAUUUUGGCUUUGAUUUAGAUGUAUCUGUGAUUAUUACACUGAUUUCAAUGUAUUGCAAGUGUGGACAUAUUGAUUCCGCUAGAUUUUUGUUUGAUGGCAUGUGUGCCACAACUGGUUUUCCUUGGACUGCAAUGAUUAGGGGAUAUGCUCAGAAAGGAGACCAGAACAUGAAGCAGGAUGACUCUUUUAUCAUUUUGACCGGUAUACCUUAGGCAUUGGAAAUUUAGCAUCUGGAUUUUGGAGAUAGAUACAUGUAGAAAAUUGCUUGUGAACCAUGUUUCAUUUCACAUUCUGAUGUUAAAGGAAUUUUAUGAUCGGAUUUUAUAGCUCGUACAAUUACAGAAGAAGUAUAAUUGAAUUAUUUCUGAUGUUUUAUAGUAUUACUACACUUCCAGUUUCUUUGGGGAGAUUGAAGUGUACAGUAUUACUACUGUAUAGCACGUACAAUUACAGUCAUUUAUACGAGGGCAUUUCUAUGGCUUCAUCCAUUAAAAAUAUGAUAGUAUUGCAGCUAUUUUUUUUUUAAGUUACAUUCUUUUGUAGGAUAAAUAAAAGUAUAACGAAGGGAAGUAUAGAUCAUCUUCAUUAAACUUACAAAAGGAAGAAAAAUAGAACCGCUAACAAAAUUCAGUAACGAAUCAAAUCACAUUCAAUUUUCUUCUGAGUCUUUCAAUUAUUAGUAGCAUGACAAAAAGUCUUCCCACCCAUGUAAGGAAGUUUAUUUUUAACAUGUUUCUAAUCCUAAGGAUUAAGAGGAAGCUGGUUAGCUGUCUUGGAAUAUUUUGGAGGAUGAGCACCUUCCUUGCAAAGAUAAUAACAAUGGCAAUUUGGUUGAUGGCAUGCACCCCAAGCAGUUGUUUUGGGAUGCAAAUGAGUGCAAAAUUGAUGACAUUCUGGUUGGUCGCAUGGAGAGGGUGAGCCUGAUACCUUCUCAUUUUUGCAUACAUGCAACCAUCUCUGGCUUUCACCUGUAACAAGCUCAAACUAGUCAUAUAUAGGAUCUAAAUAAAGUUUUAUUGUUUUGAUAAUUUUUAAAUAAACUUUCUCGAGGUUUGCCAAAACGAAAAGAUAGUGUGGACAAUUAUAAAACUCAGAUAUAUGAGUUUCAAAACUUGUUAAUGUUUAAUAAAGUGAGUUUUAUGUAUAAAUUGUUGGUCGUAUGUGCUUGUGGGGAGUGGUGAUAGGACAUAAUUUAUCUUUAUUAUAUGUUUUCUAGUUAUUUUUAAUUAAUUAAUUUAGUUUAUGGAACAGGGUAAUAAAUUGAUGGUUGAGAAUAAUUUGUGCUUAAAGGGAUCAAAACUGGAGAGAGUUGAAGAUUACUUAUGCUCGUUGCCGCAAUGAUAAAGUCCAAAAAAAAAAUUAAAUCCAUUAGCCGAAUUAAUAGCUAAAUGACAUGAGAAAUAUUAGCUAAAUUAAAUGGGUUAUUACAAUUCCAAGUGGUGAGCACGUGAGUGAGAACAAAACAAAUUAAAAGACCAAGCCUUUCGGCUUUAGAAUUGAAAAGGUCGGUGGCCCAUUUUGGAGACUAUAAAAAGAAAACGAAACUUUGGCUUUUGAGGGGGAGUAGCCACCGGAGGAAGCAAGAGAAACGUGGAAGCCAAAAGAGAGAGGAGCAUUCGGUAGAGAAGAAAAUAACGGCAGUAGCAGUUUAAUUCCCCAUGGCUGAAUUUUUGUUUUGCGUUGCUCCCAAUUCAAAUAUAUGUAGCUAAUUUUUUUUUACUGAGGUUAAGGAUGAAAUUCUAUUCAAUGAAAUUCAUUUAAUUAAUUCCCUACACAUAUUCUUUAAUGUUUAUGAUUCUUGUUUCACAUGAUUUGUUGGAAUUUUUUCACCAAUUCUGUCAUGCAUUUUUUAUUGUUAGGAUUAAUAUUUGACGAAAUCUAUGCUUGGAUCUAUAAAGUUGAUAAAUGAUUAUCUUUGAUUCUAUGUCUUUUAUUAAAUGGUUUACACAGAGUGCUUAGUAAAACUUUAACUCUUUAUUAUUCAAUAUGUUUACAUGAGAUGUUUAGAUAUCAUACUAUUAAGCAAAAAAAGAACCUACACAAGAUUAAUUUUAAUUGAUCUUAAUUGUUAUAUCCAUGGGAUGAUAUAGAUUGAUUUUGAAUUGUCACUCUAAAAUUGGAAAUUAAUUAACAAUUAGAUAAUUAUUAAUUGAAUAGUGGUAGAUUCUGAAACUUUAGUAAUUUUUAUCUUAUUGAAUCCUUCUUUGCUUCAAUUAAUUGUUUUCUUAUUUUAAUUAGUUUUAUUUCCCUUAAAAACUCAAUUUGCUCAACUAGGUUAUGAUGAAUAUUAAUUUUAGAUUUAAAUUAGACUUUUCAAUUUAUAGUAAUCCUUAUGAGUUCGACCUCGUUAUCACUAUUCUAUUUUUAUAUUCGUGCACUUGCGAGUAUAUUAAAUUUUUUUUCACAACAAAUGGCAAAUGUAGAUAAUUACAAUAAUAAUAUUGGCGGAACUUUAUUGUGUAAAGUAUUGUGUUUACAACUCUUUAUGUAGGAAGAAAAUAAUAGUAAUAGGUAAACUAUAGAAAAUAUGUGUAUUUCAAGGCACGGUACAAAUGUCACUUUCCUUAAGACGUUGUUUCACCCCUACCAAUUGAGUGAUGUACAUGGGUUAAGCAAAUAUGUCUCUAGGAUAUAAUGAAGCAAUUGUUUGUUUACUUGUAUUGUGUAUCAACGAAAGCAAAUCAAAAUACUCUUAAAUGUUGCAAGGCUACAAAGAAACAAUAUAUUGCUCGUGCAAAAAAUAAUAUAUUGGAUAUUUAAUGGACAAAAAUGAAUGUUUUGUGAUGAAACUCAUUUUAGAAAAGGGGGCUGAGAAAAGAGUGGUGUGGGUGUUGGAGAAUUAAUAAAUAAAACACACAAAAAACACACUAUUUUAUUUAUUCAAUAACACUCCUCACCAAUUACAACUCUUAUUUUUCACUCUCUACACCUUAGAGAUUUUGUUACUUCACUUGAUGCUUAAACCAAAGGGGAGAGGGGGUAUUAUACAUGAUACAAAUUAAUCACAACCAUUCAUUUAUUUAACUACUACAUAAAUCAUCACCAUUCAUUAAAAUCUACCACUCACCUACUUCACUAACCACACCUACCACAAGUAAUUCAAACCUCACCAACCAUACCUACUCAUGGAAUUUUCCAUGAGUUGGGCUUGAAUUUAUUCAUUUUGGAUCAAGUUUAUGACCCAACAACCCACACCAAGCAAACUUCUGAAUUUUACGAAGUCAUCUUGGUUGAGUGACUUAGUAAAGAUAUCAGCUGCUUGAUAUUGUGAUUUUACAUACUUGAUUUGCACUUCUUUUCUUGCAAUACACUUUUAUGAAAUGAUAGCGAGUGUUUAUGUGUUUGCUUCGAUCAUGAAAGAUUGGAUUCUUGGAUAGGGCAAUUGCUGAUUUGUUAUCAACACAAAUCUCGGUUGGCUCUUCUUGUGUCAAACCCAACUCCUUCAGUAAAUUUCUGAGCCAAAUUGCAUGACAAACACUUGAUGUGGCAGCUACAUACUCAGCUUCACAAGUGGAUAUCAUGACAAUAGGUUGCUUCUUUGACAUCCAUGUGAAAGCAGUAUCUCCCAUGAAGAACACAAAUCAUGUAGUGCUUUUUCGAUCAUCUACAUCUCCACCCCAAUCACUAUCGCUAUAUCCAACAAGCUUGUAGUCAUUAGAAAAUGAGUAUAACAAGUCGAAAUUAAUUAUACCUUUGAUGUAGCGAAUGAUUCUUUUUGCAGCUUUAAAAUGAAUGGUUUUUGGAUUCUCCAUGUAUCGACUCACAAGUCCAACAGCAUGAAGGAUAUCUGGUCUCGUGCAUGUCAAAUAACAUAGGCUUCCAACUAAACUUUUAAAGAAUGUUGGAUCUAUAUCUUCGCCUUCAUCAUGUUUUGAUAACUUGACUCCGCAUUCCACUGGUGUGCUUAUAGGAUUGCAAUCAUUCAUCUUGAACCUUUUGAGAGUCUCCUUUGCAUAGCUUUCUUGGGAGAUAAAUAUGCCUUCUUCCUUGUGCUUGAUUUCAAUGCCGAGGUAAUAUGCCAUCAGUCCGAUGUCAGUCAUCUCGAACUCUUUGAUCAUCACUCUCUUGAACUCUUCAAACAAGCUUGGAUUACUUCCAGUGAAGAUGAGAUCAUCCACAUACAGGUACACAAUCAAAAUGUCUCCAUAAUUUUCUUUGACGUAGAGAGCAUGUUCAUAUGGGCAUUUGGUGAAGCCUUUCUCUUGAAAAUACUUGUCAAUUAUGCUAUUCCAUACCCUUGGUGCUUGCUUUAACCCGUAAAGAGCUUUCUUCAAUCUUAAAACUUUGUCUUCAUGUCCUUUCACCAAAUAGCCUAAUGAUUGUUCAAUGUAAACUUCUUCUUCAAGGAAUCCAUUCAAGAAAGCAGACUUUACAUCCAUUUGAAAAAUCCUCCUUUUGUUCUGAGCAGCCAAAGAAAUAAUAAGUCUAAUAGUUUCAAGUCUGGCUAUAAGAGCAAAUACCUCGUCGUAGUUUAUGCCAUCCUUUUAACUAUAGCCUUUUGCAACUAGCCUCGCCUCGUGCCUUUCAAUUUCUCCCUUCACAUUUCUUUUUAUUUUGUACACCCAUUUGACACCGAUCGCCUUGUAACCUUUGGGAAGAGUAGUAAGCUCCCAAGUAUCAUUCUUCACAAUGGCUUUGAUUUCUUCCUCCAUUGCAAUUCUCCACUUCUCAUCUAGUGCAACUUCUUGGAAGUUGACUGGCUCACAAUUAGCAAAAAGGCAAAAAAGAGUGAGAUUAUCAUGUUUUUCAGUUAUCUCAUAGAGAUCUUGAAGACUCAUUAUACGUUCUUCAGUUCUUUCAUUUAAGAAAGAUGGCGAUGAAUCUCCGCAUGUGUUUAAUGCUGGUGACAUAGGUCGAGUAGCUAGCUCUUGUUGUUCUUCUACUUAUUUUAUUUGUGUAUAAUCAUUUUCUUCAAUGGGAAAGAAGUUGAAGUCAUCCACACCAGAGCCAAAAUCUCAUUUUCCUUCUUUAUCAAAAACUACAUCUCGACUGAUCACGAUCUUCCCGUUGUUUGGAUUGUAAAGCUUGUAUCCUUUAGAGUUGUUGUCGUAGCCAAUGAAGAUGAACUUCUCACUUUUGUCAUCCAGCUUCGCUCUACUCUCGUCCGGUACAUGUAUAUGGCCAAUGCUUCCGAAAACUCUUAGAUAGGUGAUGCUAGGUUUUCUUCCACUCCAAGCUUUUUGUGGUGUCUUGCCCCACACGCUUUUUGUUGGAGAUCGAUUGGAUAUGUAGACUGCACAUGCAAUAGUUUCGGCCCAAAAUUCUUUAGGUAGCCUCUUACUCUUGAGCAUGCUUCUUGUCAUGUUGAAGAUGGUUAUGUUCUUCUUUUCUGCAAUACCAUUUUGUUGAGGGGAUCUUGGAACCGUCAAAGGGCGUCGAAUUCCAUUUGCUUCACAAAACUCUAAAAAUUCUUUAGAAGUGAACUCUCCACUUCAAUAAGAUCUUAUGGCUUUAAUUUGGUAUCCACUUUCUUUUUUCACUGCAGCUUUAAACUUCUUGAAAACUUUAAAGACUUCUGAUUUCUACUUAAAAAAAUACACCCAAGUUUUUCUUGAAAAAUCAUCUACGAAGAGAAGGAAGUAGUUACUUUUACCAAAAGAGUUUGGUUUGAAUGGACCACACACAUCAGUAUGAAUGAGCUCGAGUGGCUUCUGAGCUCUUGAGUUUGACUUCUUUGGAAAGCUCUUUCUGAACUGCUUGCCAAGUAAACAUCCUUCACAAAGUUGAUCAGGGUGAUUGAUGUAUGGUAAGUCUUUCACCAUGUUUUUCUUGAAUAGUAGCUCUAAUCCUCCAAAGUUAAGAUGCCCAUAUCGAAGAUGUCAAAUCCAGGAUAGAUCUUUGCGACAGGCUUUGAGACAUUUUGCAACAUCAUUUUGAAUAUUUAAAGGAAAUAUUUUAUUCUUCGACAUUUUCACCUUUUUAAUUAGAUUUCCUUUGUUAUCUCUUAGGAAAAGACUAUAAUCUUUUAAGUGAAUAUCAUAGCCUUUUUCUAAAAGUUGACCCAAACUAAGGAUGUUGUUUUUCAUAUUGGGCAUAUAGUAAACAUUCGAAAUUAUUUGGUGACUACCAUCUUUUGUACGAAAAAGAAUGUUACCUCUACCCUUCACUGGUACUUUUGAAUCAUCUCCAAAAGCGACACUACCAUUCACAUAUUUACUUAGUUGCACGAACAUGCUUCUGUUUCCACUCAUAUGAUUGCUAGCACCUGUAUCAAGAUACCAUGUAUUUUCUUGACCUCCACUUGUAUCAUUGCGUGCUAGUAAAAGUGUGACAUCUUCACCAUUUUUCUCUUCAGUAUAGUUCACCCUCUUCUCAAUUCUGGUGCUUGGAGCUCUACAUUCUGAAGCAUAAUGCCCAAACUUUUGACAAUUAUAGCACUGUACUUGGGAUUUGUCAUACCUCGAUCUUGGAUUGCCUCUACCUCAUCCUCUGCUUGAGCUUUCUCCUUUGGCAUAAUUGGAGUUGUUGAAAUUCCCACCUCGUCCAUGACCAUGACCAUGUCAUCUAUCUCGUCCUUGACCUCUACCUCGGACAUAAUGUCUUCUCUCAUUGUCGGAACUUUCUUCUCUUUUCUUUGGAUUGACUUCCAUCUUGACAAGUUGUUCUUCGAUUCCUUGCUUCUUUUUUAGUUUUUCUUUAUAGGCUUGCAACCUUCCUUGAAGUUGCUCGAUUGUCAUAUCCUCUAGAUCUCUUGUUUCCUCAAUUGUCACAACAAUAUGGUCAAACUUCGAGUCUACUGAUCGAAGUAUUUUUUCAAAGAUCCUUAUCUCUUUUAACUCCUCGCCAUUUCUUUUUAAUUCAUAGGAAAUAGUCAAAACCUGAGUAAAAUAGUCAGAAAUUGACUACGACGCCUUCAUGUGUAAGGACUCAAAUUCUCCUCGUAAUGUUUGGAGACGAACAUUUUUUACUUGCUUUGCUCCUUUGUAAGAGGUCUCUAGUUUCUCCUAUACUUCUUUUGAGGAUGUUGUACCAGCAAUUUUUUCAAAAGUAUUUUCAUCUAAUGAUUGAAAAAUGAGAUACUUUACUUUAUUAUCUUUCUUCUUCAAGUCUUUUAAAUUCUCCUUCUGCGCCGCAGUUAAAGUGGCUUCAUUUUCUGGCACAAUAAAGCCUUUCUUCACGACAUCUCAUACGUUAUGUGCACCCAAUAGAGCCUUCAUUUUAACACUCCAAUUGUCAAACUUACUUCCUUUUAAUUAUGGAACUUGAAAUGACAUCAUACCACCAUUUGCCAUAACUCCCAAAUUGAGUAAGAAUUUUGAGAUUCUGAAUGCACGGAUGGAUCCGGCACGUCAAAAAACUUUGGGAAAGACUCGAGUCAACUUUUGGUCAACUAUCGGCAAAAGAGAUGGCCGUAUGAUCAUGGGAUUGAGGCUACUGGGGAUGUUGGAAAUGGAAACAGGUGAGUUGGUUUGCGUUGCGUGGGACUUGGUAGACUUACGUGAAUGUUACAUGGGAUUCAGGGUAGUGGAUGCCGAAGUGGUAACCCUUGGGUUAGCUUGGUGCAUGGGGCUUGGUCGCUUGACGUGGAAAUUGCAUGGGUGUGGUCAAAAAUUUUAUUUGGCAGGGUAUCUGUGUUGGACUUGUCUUGGGGAAGGUGAUCUCUCUCUAGAAUGUCAACAGUGGGCUUAUGAGGUGGGGAUUUCAUUUUUAGAGGCUGGUUCUUUGGGAAGGUCGCUUUUCUAGGGAUUUUAUUUGUUGGUACGUGGGUUUCAGUAAUGGAAGCAGAUAAUGCCAUAUUCUCAUCGGGAUCCGUCACCCCCUCAUUCAUGGUAGCCAAAAUUUCGAACCGGGAUUCCUUACCGAAACUUUCCUGAUGGCCGCAUGUCACAUCUCGCAAAAUCUUCUUGCCUUUCUCAGUUCGAGACCUCCCUUUUUUGGUUACCACCAUCCAAGGGCCAAACUUUAGGCUACCUUGGGUAACAUUUCCGGCCACCGUUAAUGGCCGUGUGCAAUUAUUGAUAGUCUGAGCAUCACCAGCCAUAUCCUCCAAGUUUCACCCGUCCUUAAAGUUAUCCGACGCACAAAUCUUUGUUUUGUCCAUAUUUUCCACAAGUAAAACAUAUAUUUGAGUGGCACUCAUAUUCCACCUUUUGGAUUUUGCCAUCCAGAAGGAACUGUGCAACCAGGGGUUUAUUAAGUGCAACCUCCACCGUAAUGAGAGUGAAUUUCCCUCGUGCCGCAGGUUCGGUGUUAUAAUCUAUUCUAACAACUGAAUCGAUGAUUUGGCCAAGCAUCCUUAGAAUGCUCUUGUGGUAGUAGUGGAGAGCCAUCCCAGGCAACCGGAUCCAAGCUAUGACCGACUCAAUUUCCUCCGUAGAACAAUCAAAGUGAGGGUUCCAUGGUUUAACAAUAAGAUAGUGUCCCAUGAUUGUCCAUGGUCCUUGUGCCAGAACAAAAUCAACAUCCCCUUCCGAUUUAAAUCUGACUAGAAAGUAAACAUUCUCCAGGUCAAUGAUAUGGAAUCUUAGGGUUGAACUCCAAAGCGAUUCCAGUCGAGACGCAAGUGCUCUAUACCCUAUGCGUCUUCCUAAAAGCUUGAUCACAACCGAGUUCUGGCACGGCUUAACUAACUGGGCAUGGACCUUUUGAGAGAAAGAGAUGGAUCCUCAGGUUCGAAAUCAAGAUCGUCCGUCCGUCCCACCAAAUCCUCUUUAAUAAAUUUCUGUGACUCCAUCAACUUAUCUCGAAAGGAGAGGGUCUCCGGUUUAUCUCCAUCUUCACCUUGAGCCCUAAACCUUGCUUUCUUAGUUGAACGACCGUCAAUUAUCGGUGGAGGGGGGGUCUUUCUCAAGAAGCAUGGUUUUCGGGUUUGAAAAAGUCUAGCUUUCGCUUUUCUUUUAGGUCAUCUGUUUGUAUUAUAUAACGCUGAUUUAUAACGCUGAUUUUUUUCCCCAUGCAACAACAUAUUACUUGUUCUCUAGAAGUUUUUAGAAUCAGUCAUUAAAUUCAUGACCUAUCUUCUUGACAGGAAGUGUUUGUUUCAUUAUCUCUGUUGGGAUUCUAGAAUAAAAAAUAUUUAUAUUUUGUGUGUGAGUAUUGACUUGGAAACACCGUGAUUUAGCCCGGGGAUGCUUUGCCGUCAUGAUUACUUGAAUUCUAGUAACAGUAGAAGAUAUUAAGUGGCUAAAAUUUCUCAUCCUAUUCAAACCUUUAAGGGGAAAAUGAAAUUGACAUGUGAUUCUAUCAUGAUAUGAACAUGAAUUUUUUAUUAUUGUUAUUAUUAUUUUUAUCUAGGUUACCUGACCCCAACCCCACACACAUACAAAAUGGGAUGCACUAGUCUUUUGGUGUUUUCAUCUCGUUUACUAUGUUAUUGUUCUUCCUCAGAAUGCUGAGGAAAUGGCUUGGGAGUAGGCUCUGAAUAGAUCCCUCACUUUUGCUUGUAAAUACACUGUGGCGGAAAAAUAAUAAAAACAAAAUAAAAACUUUAUUACCUUUUAUAUUUGAGUUUGUUUUAUUUUAAUUUUAUUUAUUAACAACUGCGUUAGGCUAAUCCAGAGAUGGAACAAACAACAUUAUCAUUAAGUGCUAAGGCGAUAGCUUGGAACGGCCAAAAGAUGUUUGGCCCGAUAAGUCACAAGACCAAACUCUUCUGUCAUGUCCAAUUCAGUUGGCAACAUUCCCUCGGGAAGCUCCCAAUCAAAGCAAUGCACCAGCUGUGCGGUCACUUGCUUAACGACGGUGAGUGCCAAUUGCAUUCCAGGGCAAGCCCUGCGGCCAGAACCAAAUGGCAAAAGCUGGAAGUCACGUCCGCGAACAUCAACACUACUCCCAAUAAAUCUUUCCGGAAAAAACUUCUCAGGAUCAUUCCAGGCUUUAGGAUCCCUUCCAAUUGCCCAAGCGUUUACAAUUACUCGCGAUUUUUUGGGUAUGUGGAAUCCGUUAACUGUGCAAUCUUCCAUAGAUUCGUGUGGAGCCAUCAAUGGCGCUACAGGAUGAAGUCGCAGGGUUUCCUUGACAACCAUGUCUAGGUAUUCUAGGAUUUCCAAAUCUGAUUCUUCAACCAUUCUUUUUAAGCCCACAAUAUUUUCUAGCUCUCUUUGUAGUUUCUUCAUCACAGCAGGAUGCUUGAUGAGUUCUGAAAGUGCCCACUCGACUACCGUUGGUGAAGUGUCCAUCGCUCCCGCAAGCAUGUCCUGAAAUUGAGGAAACCAUAAAUAAAUGAAGCAGAUGUUUAGGGUUAAAAAUGACUCAUGCAGAUGAUCUUCUAUGGCAUGUAUAUUGCUAUUUAUGUUUACUGGCCAAGAUCAAUUCUGAUAUUAUGUAUCAAUCACAUGUCUAUAUUUACUCAUGUGAAAGCCAACACGAACACUACAACAAACAGUUAUAUCACCGAUGAAAUAUAUCCGAGGGCGUAAAAUACCUUUGAUAAUAAAUACUUUUUCCUAAGGUGUAAGAUGGCCGUCGGAUAAGGAUGAAAAUAUAAUCAAUAUUCCCGAGGGCAAUUUGCCCUUGAUGAUAAUGAAUGCUUUGUCGAAAAUGCUUGCUAGACUUAACUAGAAGCACCCCAAAAUUUACACACUUCGGUCUUUGAAGUAGAGUACUAAAACCACAAGCCCACAGCCAUAACUUCCAAUAAUUUUUUUCUUUGGAGUAGCGUACUUGGCAAAUUUUUUUCUUGUAAAUUUAAUUACUCUUGGUAAAAUUAAAAACCUAAAAGAAUGAAAUACAAAUAAAAAGAGGAAAUAUCGGUUUGCUAAUAAAGUACGUAGAACAUCCAGAGUUUGUUUUAUUUUAAUUUUAUUUAUUAACAACUGCGUUAGGCUAAUCCAGAGAUGGAACAAACAACAUUAUCAUUAAGUGCUAAGGCGAUAGCUUGGAACGGCCAAAAGAUGUUUGGCCCGAUAAGUCACAAGACCAAACUCUUCUGUCAUGUCCAAUUCAGUUGGCAACAUUCCCUCGGGAAGCUCCCAAUCAAAGCAAUGCACCAGCUGUGCGGUCACUUGCUUAACGACGGUGAGUGCCAAUUGCAUUCCAGGGCAAGCCCUGCGGCCAGAACCAAAUGGCAAAAGCUGGAAGUCACGUCCGCGAACAUCAACACUACUCCCAAUAAAUCUUUCCGGAAAAAACUUCUCAGGAUCAUUCCAGGCUUUAGGAUCCCUUCCAAUUGCCCAAGCGUUUACAAUUACUCGCGAUUUUUUGGGUAUGUGGAAUCCAUUAACCGUGCAGUCUUCCAUAGAUUC
rnacentral:lncRNA from 1 species